rnacentral:lncRNA from 1 species
AUUUUUUUUUUGUUUUUAAAAAAUUAUUAUUAUCUACGAUAGGGGUGAGCAAAAUUUGAUUCGACUCGAAAAAAUCGAAAAAAAAUUUGAAUUUCGAGUUAAACGAAUCGAGUUAUUCGAGUUAAUCGAGUUAUUCGAAUCAACUCGAAUUUUUUUUCGAAUUUCGAGUUCGAAUCGAGUUGAGUUUUCGAAUUCGAAUAACUCGAAUAAUUCGAAUAAUUCGAAUAUCAAACUAUAAUAUUUUACAGUUUUACACUAAACUCACAAACUUUUUACUUUUCCCUCAAAACUUUACUCCUUCCCACUUUCUCCCCAAAACUUUUACUCCCCUCCCCUCCCCUCCAACCCCCUAAUCUACCCAAAUUCCAUUUCCCACCAAAAUUUUACUCUUCCAUUCAUUUUUUAAAAAAAAAUUUUACUCCCCAAAACUUUCAAAACCUUUUAUUUUCCCCCAAAAUUUUUACUCCCUCCCACUUUUCCCCUAAAACUUUUAUUCUCUUCCCAUCCCACCUCCCACCUCCCAUCUACCCCAAACCCUCCCCCCUCCAAUUUUUUUUUAAUAUUUUCCCUCCAAAAUUUUACUCCCCCUAAUUACUUUCCUUCAAACUUUUAUUCUCCAAAACAUUUUAUUUUCCCCCUAAACUUUUACUUCUCACCCUUUACUCUUAAAUAAAAAAUCAAAAUUAUCCAAAAAAAAAUCACUAAACAUAAAUAGUAAUAAUUUUAUUUAUAUAUACUAUUUAUAUUAUUAAAUUAAAUUUCACAUUUUAUAUUAUUUAUAUUAUUGAAUUGUUUAGUCAUAUUGAAUAUUUAUAUUAAAAUUGAAUUCUUAAUUAUGCCAUAAAAUAUUCGUGUUAAAAUUUUAUAUUGGUAUCAAUUUCAAAUUUUAUUUUUAAAAUAAAUUUUAUUAAAAAAAUCAUAUUUUUAUAUUUAAUAUAUUUUUUAAUUCCAAAAAACAUAGUGACAAGAAUCCGAAGAUAAUUAAACAACUAAGCAAACAAAUAAGCUAACCAGUAUAUAAAAAAUUAAUAAAUAAAUUAUGAGGUGAUGAAAGUUAAUAAAAAAAUUUGAUUAAGGUGGACAAAUUUUAUUACGAUGGGUGACAAUGGUUACAAGGACCCAAAAUUAUUUUUUAAAAUUUAACUCGAACAAAUAUAUUCGAUUCGAUUCGAAUUCCAUCUCACUCGACUCGAUUCGAGAAAACUUCAAAUAAAGUUAGGAUGAUAAAAUGAGAUUCGAAAACUCGAUUAACUCGAAAAUUUUCGAUUCGAUUCGAUCGAAUGCUCACCCCUAAUCUACGAUGUAUAGUGGACUCAAAGAUAAAUAUUAGAAUGAUUUUUUAAUUUAUAUUUUUAAAACCCAUAAUUUUAUUUUAAAAUAUGUAUUAAAUACAAAUAUCGAAUAUGGAUACCAAACUAAUAAAAAUGUAAAAAGUUUUUGAAGCACUUAAUGAAGUUGAUUCCUUGCUUAGCAAUCAUAUUUGAAAGAGUUACCUAUCAGGCAAAUUCAAAUGAUGUUUCAACUUGUAGUUUUAAUUUUAUACACCACUUUUUGACUCAAAAGAAUGGCUUUUUAUGUCAUCUUGGCCAAAAACGGGAGUUUAGAAUAAUAAAAAGAGGACUUAGACAUAUGUAGUAAAAAAAAAAUUAAUUAUUUUUCAUUACAGUUUUUUUUAAAUCAUCUUAUGUUAAUGUCUUUUGAUGACGUGAAGGCACUUGAUAUAAUACAAAAGACCAUAUUUGGAAAUUGAAAGUCCUUACAAAGAAAAUGUAUUAUGACACUUAAAUCAGCAAAACAUGAAAAUGAAAUAAGGUUUAUCUAAAGGCUAGAUUUUCAGUGAUAUUGAAAAAUGUAAUUUUGAAAUUUCAUUUCUAUAAAUUGAGUCCCGUAAAUAUUAAAUAUGAAUAUUUACGGAGUUAACAUAAAAAUGUAUUAAAGAUUAAUCGAGUAAUUUUGUCGAAUUAAUAGUUAAUUAAGACUCGAUAACUAAAUUAUAAAAUCCAAUUGUUAUAGAAUUUUAAUUAACAAAAAGUUUGAUGACUUAAAUAUCAAUUAACCAGAUGACCAAAAUGAUUAAUAAACCAUUUUAGAUUAAAAGAUAGUGGAUGAUGGUGGCAUAUUGAUUAAGUAUCAACAAUGAUUGGUUAAGAUAAGUAAAUAUAAUCAGUUUAAGUCUUAAACUUUAAUUUAACUAUAAAUAUAAAAUUUUGGUGGGAAGAAAGAGAAUAUUGUCAUCUUCUUCUCUACCUUAAACUGUCCACCAUAAGAAGAAACCAAAGAAAGUUUUCAAAAUCCUUAUACAUUCGGUCACUUGAUUAGGUGAGAAAUUAAGUACUUUUUUUUUAAUGUAAUUUUUAUAGGUUUGAGGUCAUGGGAGCUAGAUUUAGCUAGCCCAUGUACCAAUUUGAUAAACUAUUAAAAUUUUAGGAAGUUGCUAUGUGAUAGUAAUAUGAAUUGGCAGGCGUUGAGUUGCUUAUAAUGUUUAAUGAUCAUGGAUAUAUAUGCUCACUUUGUUGAUAUUUUAAAAUGCCAUGUCCUAGACAAACUUAUGCCCAACUAAGGUAGCUAACAUGCUUGUGUACGAACAAGGUAAGCAUAGUAUUUUUCAUUCGAGCUUAUUAAACAUGUGUAUGCUUACUAUAGUUGUUUCCCUACUUGUAGAUCAUCACUUUGAGGAACCAACCGAGUCGGAUCAAUGCGAAGCACACAUUAUUAACAAGACGGUAGAAUAAUAUUCAUUUUGAGUCCAAAUAUUGUAGCAUGUAUAUAAGGACACCUUAUUGUGCAAAUUAUUAUUUUUGAGUUGAUAUUCAUGUGAUAUAUGUGCUUGUGGUUGAACUUGUAUGUUAAGCAUAACAUAUGACCUAAUUGAUGCAUGGUUUGGUCAAAUUUAAUGCUAUUAAUAAUGAUGAUAUUAAACUUGCAUGUGCUUGGUACGUUAAAGCUUGCAAAUUGAAAUAGUUGGGCAAGAUAAAUCAAUGCAUGGUUUGUGAAUAGUAAGUUUGAACGUUAUGUUUGAAAUAUAGUUAUCUUAUGCUUUGUUUUGAUUCACGCCAAGGUUAUAUGAGUUUUUGAUGUAUAAAUUGCAUAGGUAUAAUAUAUUCGACUUGAAAUAAAUAGUUGGCAUGGCUAGAUUGUUAAAUGACUUAAAUAAGUUUGAUAGAUGAUUAUGUGUUAUAUUAAAUGCUUGGUUCCAAAUGCUCAUGUGAAUUGGUUGAUAUAAUUGAAUAUAGAAUCAUAUUGUAUUGAUUGAGGGAUGAUACUAUGGAAGUGUAUAAAUGUUGGUUAGAGAGAACAAAAACAUACAAAAGUGCUCUUUGCCAAAAUAGGGACAACGUUGCGACCUCGAGUUCCCAACGUCGUGACAUAGGUCGACAGUGAACUCUCUGUUUGACGAUGUUGCUACGUGUAAGCCAUGAUGUCACGAUGUCGGCCAGAAGUUUACAAAUUUUACAAUUUAGUCCUAAUUCGAUUUCGGGUUAACAAAAGAGCUUUCAUAAGCUCAUAUGAGAUCCAUAAAUGAUUAUGUAACAUAGUAUGAAUGUGCGUUAUAUUGAAUUGUAUGUGUAAAUGGUUGUAUGGUGUAUGAUUGAAUGUAGUUGCUUUGGAAACGGUUGUGGCAUCCCGUAGCUCAAACCUGACGACUAGAUCGAGUAUGAGGUGUUAAAGGUAAUUAAUUGGAGAAAAUUGUAAAUCUUAGUCUUAUUAUUAUUAUAGUUUGUUGUGUUAUAACUUUAGUUGUUCAGAGUGACAAAAUUAUCAGAUCUUGAUAAAUAGCUAUACCAAGUGUCUCGGUUUACAAAUUAAUUGUCUAAAACUCUUGUGUAAUUAAAUUCUUUUGAACCUGGACUUUAAUUUGUAAGUGGAUAUAUCAAUUAUCAAAUUAAUAAAAUAAUUACUAAAUUUGAAAAGAAGAAAGAAUAUAUAUAUAAAGGUAGAGAAGCGACCAAGAGUGAUUAAAAAAUUGAUUCAUGGGCGAAUGCCAAUUAAGUAAGUGCUGUAAUGACAACAUGUUAACCAUGCGUGACUUAAAAUUGUGCUGAAAAGAGGGAAAAGAAACCUUAACGCGCAUAAAAUAAAGUGUAGCGGUAGCUACCGCCUCGUGCUAGAAUUCGGUUGACUCUCAAAAGCAAAAACGAACCUGCCAAAGUCCUUUAAAAAAGUUUACGUCUUGACACGAAAUUAAUACGUUUGUUGGGUCGAUUAUUUUGAUAAAUUUAUCUUUUAAUAUAAACAUUUUAUUAAUUUAGAUUUUGUUUUUUUAAAGUUAAAUUUGAUUUUUGAAAUUUUUAAAAAAUAUAAAAUUUAUUUAUUAAUUUUUUAAAAAGAGUUGAAUUGUUAAUUUUUUUUAACGAGAAUACUAAUUAAAAACAUGACAAUAUAUAUAACAAUUCACAUUUUCUUUAUGCUAUUUUCUAAAAAAUAGUAUCAUAUUAAUGUGAAAUGCACUUGAAUUACCAUUCCAUCAUUGUUAAAAAAUUAAUAUUUUUAUUAAAAUUAUAUAUUUUUUUAAAAAUUAAUAAUUAAAUUUAACUAAAAAAGUAAAGUUCAAAUUCGUAAAAAAUGUAGACAAUUUAUUAUUUUUUUAAUGAGAGUUUUAUCUUCUAGAUUAAAAUAAUUUUGUUUAACAAUUUCCCGCCGCGUAGAGGCAACCAUUUGAGUCAAAAGGGCACGGCUAAGUAGCCAAGGUUGAUCUUUUUGCUUUGGGUUUAGCGUUUGAAGUGAAUAGAAAAAAACAGGUGAUGGAAGGGGAAGGGGAAGGGUUUGGUGGGUGGGCAAGUGGGGUUUACGUGCAGUCCACGUAAGAGUCCCACUUUCAUGCUCCAAAUCCUAUUAUUCAUUGCCCUAUAUAUUUCUCCACGACAUGGUGUUAUGAAUAUGCUAUAAUUAUAAUUAAUUAUGAUCAAAAUUGUAAAAUAAAAAAACCGUACACUCUCUCGAGACUGUUCUUUAAAUACGCCUCAUUUGAUUCUUUCCAUGUGUAUGAGCGAACUGUAAACGAACACAGUCCACAUCAGCCCAAGCAUUGUUUCCUCGUUUUCACCCUCACCCUUCAUUCUUCAAACUGAAAUACUCGUCUUUUUUGCCUUGAAGGCACUCUUCUCUAUCCAAUAUGACUAUGGAGAAACAAUAUUUGGAUUGGGUACUAGUUCCAAUGGGGAUUCUUUUGAUGGUGGCUUAUCAUGUAUGGCUUCUCUAUCGAAUCUUAAAACAUCCCACCAAGACUGUCAUCGGCGUCAAUGCCAUCAACCGUCGUUUUUGGGUUCAAGCUAUGAUGGAGGUUGGUCUUUUAUAUAUCCUUUUAUUCAAUGGUUUCUGUUUCUAAUUGAUGUAAAAAAUUAACUGAGUUCCUUAAUUUUGAUUGGUUAGGAAGCGUCAAAAAAUGGGGUUUUGGCAGUGCAAACGUUUAGAAACAACAUAAUGGCGUCGACUCUAUUGGCAUCGACGGCUAUCAUGUUGAGUUCCCUCAUCGCCGUUUUGAUGACUAACGGUAAAGGCGAUAGAUCGUCGUGGUUCAUAUUCGGGGAUGAAAGCGACCUGGCAUUUUCGAUCAAGUUUUUCUCGAUAUUGGUUUGCUUCUUGGUGGCUUUUUUACUUAACUUGCAGUCCAUCAGGUAUUACAGCCAUGCAAGCAUUCUCAUCAACGUGCCGGUGAAGAAGAUGUCCCACCACCACCACCACCACCAUCUCACGGUUGAAUAUGUAGCCAACACUGUGAACAGAGGCAGCUAUUUUUGGUCCCUAGGACUUCGUGCCUUCUACUUCUCUUUCCCCCUCUUUUUGUGGAUCUUCGGUCCCCUUCCUAUGUUCUUCUGUUGCAUUGCCCUUGUUUUCAUGUUGUAUUUUCUGGAUGUUACCUUUCAAUUCGGAUGGGCCGUUGGGGUUGUCAAUGACAAUGGCCAUAAGGGUGACGAGGAAUUAGGAGGUUCAGUUCGAUCCUAAUCCCCGCCGGCGUUAAACUCGUUCAAUCAAAGUUGAAUCAAUUUGAAUUUUUCAUCAUCGGAAAAAUAAUCCCGAAAAGGGUUUUAGUCUUUCUUACACACCAAAAUGUAUUGAAGGAGAAUUGUCCCUUAAAAGAGGAAAUGAAAACUGAAACCUUGCUUUUCAUUUGUGUGUUUAAUUUCCUUUUGUCAGCAAUGAUCUGUAAUGUCAAGAAAUUAACAAAAAAGUGCAUGCCGCGUUAAAAGGAUGAAUCUUUAUUCACUAUAAAACAAAUAUAAAAAUAUAUUUUGGUUCUACUAAAAAAGGCAUGGCGUGAACUUGGUCGAAUUGUAUUUAGUUAUGGACAACCCUAUUUUUAUAUAUAAAAACUAUAUCAAACUUUGAUGUUUGUUUAGGUUUACGUUAAUCCAUUUUUCUUAAGGAACCAAACGCAAAGACAAAAAGAACUUGGGAGUGGAAGACUGCAGUCCUCUAGAGAAUUUCAGUUCAUCAACUUGGUGAUGUCAUGUCAGAAUACCUAGAUGCUCAUUUAGACAUGUGGACAUCUAAAGUUGAACCAUUGUUUGGUGUCGAUAUCAAAUCGAGGUAAAUUCUAGCUGCUACUUUAUAUAUAUAUAUAUUCUUAAAUGUUUUCUGAAAUUUAAAUAUUUAAUAUAGAUGGGCAUCAAACUUGCAUGAUCGAUAUAUAAGCCAGUAUAUACUCUAGUGUGCCUACCAUUACUUUCUCAUACUAUAAUAAUAACAAAUUCCUGCUAAAUUUCUGGAGUUCAUCAUGAAUUACUUGUGAUACUAAACCUAUUCUGCUAUUCAAGCGAGAUAAAUCCUUUACAUGUUAUCUCGAAUAUAUGUGGUUAAUAUAAAUUAUUAAUACUAAACCCAACUUUUGCUUUGCUAAGCUAUUUCACAGUUUCAAUUAAUUGCAAGCUAGAAGCACAUUGAUGUCAAAUAAAUCAUUUCAGCAGAAAGCUAGUUACUUUCGAUUAUCCAAGACAAUGUUUUUUCAAAAAUUAUCUCAUACACUUUUUUUUUUUUUUAAAAUUUUACAAGAAAUUUAGAGUGCGAUAUAUGUUUUGUAAGGAAUAGUGAAAAAUAAAUAUAGACCAUUUUACUUUUUGAGAGGGCGGAGACUUUUUUUUGUUUCUUGGAUUCAUCUUUGUAUAAAAUAUAUAUUUAAAAAAAAUAAUAAUUAGAUGUAAUGAUAAUGUAUGUUGCACUUUUAAAUAUAUAAUUCAAGUUUUAAUUUUAGAGACUGACACUGUUGAGAAGGAAGCUACAUAAAACCAAUAUAAAGAAUACUUUAAUUAUACAAAAAAUAAUUAAAAAAAGUAGAUAAUCAUUAACUUAUUUGUAGAAAAUAAAUGUUAGGGUUCCUAUUUAAUACAAUCACUUGAGGGUAUACGUUACUAUUAAUGAGAUUUUGGCUUGAAAUAAUGUGUGGAUUAAAUAGUUAAUUGAAUUAUAUUUAGUUAGUUAAUGUAACUUAAAUUAUUCCGUUCAAAGCUUAUAACUAUUAAUCAUAAUUAUAAUUGUUGAAAUAGCCAAGUAAUUGUAACUUCAAAUAUACGUGCCUUGAUUAUAGAGUCUAAAGACUCUUAAUACACUCCACUAACACUAGAUUAUAGUUCAAUUAUGUGUAUAUAUAUAAUUUUAAUUUAUAAAAAUAUAUAAAAAAAUAUUCUCAUAAUAAUAUUUGGCACUAGAUUUUAGCAGCUCACCUAUGUGCAUGUGUUUUUUUUUUUUUUAGAUUUAUAGAAAUAUAUAAAAAAUAUUCGCAAAAAUAAUAUUUUCUAUUUUGUAAGAUGAAGGAUAAAUUAGUUUUCUUUUUUAAAAUUUUGUUGGACCCAAAUGAUGUAUUUUAUGUGUAAAUUACUGUUUUACAAUUGUAAUUAUACUUGAAAAGACAAAUAAAUAUAAAUAUGGGAACUAUCAAUCUACCAAAAACCUGCUACAAUUUGCAGAACUCAACUAUAAACGUAUUGCGAGAAAUGAUACCACUUUUAAUGAUGGAUUCAAUCUUUUCUCAAAAAAAUAAAAUCUGUAAAAUUGAAGUAAUUGGAACCAUGUUUUUGUUCUUUUGCAUUAAAUAUAUGAUCAAUCAAAUCUCAUACGCCAUUCCAUAUUUUUUUCCCCAGGAGAAUAAAAAUGCCAAAUUGCCAAGCACAAGCUUAUGUGCCUAAAAACACUCCUCAACAAAACCCUUAACUUCAACAUAUAUUUGAUGUUUUUACGAUGAUUUAAGUGUUGAAAUUUAAAAUGAUGUUUAAAAGUCUUGGCUCUUUUCUUUUUCUCUCUAGAGUGCAAGUUUUGUAUGCCUCUGUACAUCUUUGCUAUCUUGCUUGUUUUGAUUUCGUUUCUUUGUUUGUUUCUGUGAGAGUGUAGGCAUGGAAAUUGGCUUUCAUUCGAGAUCGACUUACCAAAUAGAUCUUUAGUCGAAGAAUAAGUUGUUAUCGAAAUAUGGUAAAGAGAUCAUUAUUAAAAUAGUUGCCCAAGCUUUAUCGGUUUAUUGCAUGAAUGUCUUCAUGACCUCGGUAGGUACUUGGGAGGAAUUCCAAAAAAUGACGAAUUUCUUUUGGUGGGGCUCGGGGUCAAGUUCAUUGGGUCUCUUAGGACAAGUUUUGUGUUCUUAAAAAACACAGUCGUAUGGGAUUUCCGAAUCCCAACUCUUGUAAUUUAGUGAUGUUGGGCAAGCAAUGUUGGUCUUUUUGCCAAUCCGGGAUCUCUUGCUAAUAGAAUUUACAAAGCUAAAUACUAUUCUGUUGGGGAUUUAUUCAAUGCUUCGGAAGGUAGUAAUCCUUCUUUCGUUUUUGCUUUUUAAAAGGCUGCAUUGGAGAUUAGAGGAUGGGAACUCUAUUUAGGUUUUUGCGGAUCCUUAGUUACUUAAUGAUGAUAUUUUCUUUGUUAAAUUUGAGGCCUUACCGGGUUUUGAAAAUUUGUUGGUGAAAGCUUUGUUCAAUAUCGAUGGUUUGAGUUUGAAUUACUCUCUUGGAGCCUCGAGAUGCUAGGCAAGUUCUUAGCAUUCCUCUUUCGAUUUCAAACCCUCUAGAUCAACUUAUUUGGUAUUUUUCUAAGGAUGGCCGGUAUAAUGUGAAGCCUGGCUAUCGAGUUGGUCUUGAAACUAGCACUAAUAUUUCGUCGUUGGCAAUUGUGGGUGCUUGGUUGAAACUUUGAAACUUGGCUCUUCCACCAAAAGUUAAAUCCUUUGUAUGGCGGGGUUGCGACAUUUUAUCCCGAGCAAAAGUCGUUUCCUUGAGAAGGUCUGUGUCAUUGAUCUUAGUUGUGUUAGUUGCAGGGGAAAUGAGAGUUCGGAGCAUGCUAUUAUGCAUUAAUGCCCGACUGUUACGGUUGCUUGGGACAGUCUUGGCAUGGUUCCUAUGCAUAACUCUUUAUUGAUUUUAUGUAUUACCUACUACAUCUUCCGGACUCCUCUCGCAGCAAACUUUUUCUCGCUAUUUCUUGGGAGUAUUUGGUUCCAGAGGAACCUUUUGUGUUGGAAGAAUGUGAUGACUCAACCUGCCAAAAUUGUGCCUUUCGUAGAUACGUUCCUUCAGGAUUGGUGAGAGGCGAUUAUUGUUUUCCUACGUGUCCAAGGUGUAUCUUUCGGGCAUCCUACUCGUCUGCUGUAUUGGUUGACACCUCCACCUGAUUGCUUUAAAUGUAACGUGGACGCUGCUAUCUCGUCUGGUUGGAACGUAAUUGUCUUGGCAGCUAUUAUUCAUGGCGACCAAUGUCAGUUUAUCAAGGGGCACGCUAUUGUGCUGCGUUCUGUGUUUUAACCUGUUUCGGCUGAAACUAUGGCCAUUCGUGAGGCCCGCUUUCCCUAUGGACAUUGUAAUGGUAGAGUCCGAUUGCAAAGUGGCCAUUGAUGCAUUGCUCUCUCAUUCCAAUCGGCUGUCGGAGUUUGGCCCAUUAUCUCGGGACUGUUUGGCUUUGAAAGAAUCUUUCCAAAGCUUUAUCCUUUUAUUGGAUGUGUCCAGCUGCAAAUUAAGCCGCUAAUUGUCUUGCUAGAGCUGCACUAUUACGUGCUUACCCCCGUCCUUUUUACUUGAUUGCUUACAUUUCGAUUUGAUGUCUUCUAGCAAUGAUUUUCGAGGAUAAUAGGACCGAGUACAAUGGGGAAGCUUAUUAGCCUGGGUUUAGAUUUUCCUCGGUUUUAGUUUUCUUUGUUUUCUCUAUUUGUUUCACUAAUAAUUUUGCUUACCUUAAAAGACUUUAAAAAAAAAUAGAUCGGAUUAUUAACGUUAUGUUAAUAAACUAUUUGUCUUAAAAAAUAAAGAGUAAACCAUUUGUUUUGUGACUUAUAUUCGUUUAAAAUUACAUUUUAGUUAUUAAACUUUAAAAAGUAUUAUAUGAUUAUUAGUGUUAUGACUUUAUUAGGUAAAUUACUAAAUUAAUUUAUCAUACUAAAGUCUAUUUUUUUUUUUUUUACUUUGAAAGAAAUUUUCAAAUAUAUAUGAUUUCAAAUUUUUGUAUUCUACCUCCAAUUUUAGUAAUAUUGUCAACAAGAUUUGUUUAAAUUAUUUUAAGUUAACUUGAACAAGUUUAUUUGACUUGACUCGACCAAAAUCUUAUUUCACUCUGCUCAAUUUGUAAAAACUAAAAACCUGAAGUUAAGUAACAUUAUUAAAAUAUAUCUUAUGAGGGUGAGCAAAACUCGAUUCGACUCGAAAAAAUCGAAAAAAAUUUCAAAUUUCGAGUUAUUCGAGUUAAUCGAAUCAACUCGAAUUUUUUUCGAAUUUCGAGUUCGAAUCGAGUUGAGUUUUCGAAUUCGAAUAACUCGAAUAAUUCGAAUAAUUCGAAUAUCAAACUAUAGUAUUUUACAUUUUUAUCCCAAACUCCCAAACCUUUUUACUUUUCCCUCAAAACUUUUACUCCUUCCCACUUUCCCCCCAAAACUUUUAUUUCCCUCCCCUCCCAACCCCCCAAUCUACCCAAAAUCCAUUUCCCACCAAAAUUUUACUCUCCCAUUUAUUUUUUCUCAAAAUUUUACUCCCAUAAACCCUCAAAAUCUUUUAUUUUCCCCCAAAAUUUUUACUUCCUCCCACUUUUCCCCUAAAACUUUUAUUCCCUUCACAUCCCAUAUCCCAUCUAUCCCAAACCCUUCCCCCUCCAAUUUUUUUUUUAAUCUUUUCCCUCCAAAAUUUUACUCCCCCUAUUUACUUUCCCUCAAACUUUUAUUCUCCAAAACUUUUUAUUUUUCCCCUAAACUUUUACUUCUCACCCUUUACUCUCAAAUAAAAAAUCAAAAUUAUCCAAAAAAAUCACUAAACAUAAAUAGUAAUAAUUUUAUUUAUAUCUACUAUUUAUAUUAUUAAAUUAAAUUUCACAUUUUAUAUUAUUUAUAUUAUUAAAUUUUUUAGUCAUAUUGAAUAUUUAUAUUAAAAUUGAAUUAUUAAUUAUGCCAUAAAAUAUUCGUGUUAAAAUUUUAUAUUGGUACCAAUUUCACAUUUUAUUUUUAAAAUAACUUUUUAUUAAAAAUCAUAUUUUUACAUUUAAUAUAUUUUUUAAUUCUAAAAUACAUAGUGACAAGAAUCUGAAGAUAAUUGAAACAACUAAGCAAGUAAAGAAGCUAAUCAAUAUAUAAAAAAUUAAUAAAUAAAUUAUGAAGUGAUGAAAGUUAAUAAAAAUUUUGAUUAAGGUGGACAAAUUAUAUUACGAUGGGUGUGGCAAUGGUUACAAGGACCCAAAAUUAUUUUUUAAAAUUUAACUCGAACAAAUAUACUCGAUUCGAUUCGAUUCGAAUUCCAUCUCACUCGACUCAAUUCGAGAAAACUUCAAAUAAAGUUAGGAUGAUAAAAUGAGAUUCGAAAACUCGAUUAACUCGAAAAUUUUCGAUUCGAUCGAAUGCUCACCCAUUCUUAUCAACUCGAUUAAUUCGAAUCGACUCGAUUCAACACUGCCUUAAUUUUUCUUUUCUUUUCCUUAAAUUUUUUCAUCACAAAAAAAGCCCAUUAAUACCCUAAAUACCUUUAAAAUCUCAAUUUUAUUAUCAAUGUUAAUUGUGGAGUAUUAGACUUAUUUAUGAAUCAAGCCGAGCUCUAAAAAAUUUAGUCUCGAUUGCUAAGACCGGCCCAAAGCGACCCAGCCCAAAUUCUGUUCCAAACACUACCAGACGAUGAGAAAAACAGUUCAAAAAGAAAACUCAUUCAUACUAGGACAAAACACCACUACAAUUAAUGAAACCACCACAUUGUUUAAUCUGAAACUAAAAGUGAUACAUCACCUCCAAAAGACCUCAUUGGAUUGAUGACGCAGUAAAAAAAGCCAGAACAACAAUGAAAUUGGCAGUACCAGGAAGGAAAACAUGCAUUGUGAAAAAUUAACUACAGAGAUUAAAUCAAAAUGUCAAGAUAGAAGAACGAAAAUCUUUAAGUACGGUGCAUAUAUACCGGGCAAACUAGGGGGACGAUGACGACUGAAGGCUGGAGCAGAGAAGGCCACGAUAGUGGUGAACGCCGGUGACAGAGGAAGCAACAGGAAGACGGACGACGCAAUGGUGAUGGGUUGGAGUGGGACGACGCGACGAUGAUAGGCACAAAACUGAGGAAGCGGGAGACGGAGUGGUGAGUGGGAGACAGACGGGCAGCGACGUUGGAGGUCACUGGUGGAGAUCAUGAGUGGCGCUAGGUAUUUUGAUUUUAGAAACUGAUAGUGAAUUAAGGAUUGGGAAUAAUUGAUAAGGGGAAUAAGGGAUUCACAUUUGACAGCAGAAAGCCAGGCAGUAAACCAAGUCAUGGCCGAGUGCCACGUUAGAGUCCCACUUCAUACUCAACUCUUAUUUUCCAUUAACCCCAUUGAUUAGUCCACACCACAUCGAAACUCGCGUUUCAAAAUCUAAUAAAUAAGUAAAUAUUAAUGAAUUAGUGGUCUGUAUUGAUAAAUACAACUUUAGUUAAUUAUGACAAAAACUUGUAAAAUAAGAAUCAUACCACGCUGACAACUCGUUAAAUACGGUUCGUUGCCUUCCAUGCAUACAAGCAAACUACAAACACCCCUCAACCAAAAAGCACUCUUUCUUUGUUUUCCCCUCACCAUUCACACUUCAAACAAAAACACACUCGUCUUUUAGGCUUUGAAGAACGCUUGAGGCAGUCUGUCACGGCCAAAGGCCUUCUUUGAAACUGUACUCUGUCCAAUAUGAGUAUGGAGAAACAAUAUUUGGAUUGCGUACUAGUCCCGAUGGGGAUUCUUUUAAUGGUUGCCUACCAUUUAUGGCUUCUCUAUCGAAUCUUAAAACAUCCCACCAAGACUGUCAUCGGCAUCAACGCCAUCAACCGUCGUUUUUGGGUUCAAGCUAUGAUGGAGGUUGGUCUUUUACUUCUUUCUUUAAAUCUUGAUUUCCUUCCUAUAGAAAUGGUAACUAAUUGAUUGUUGGGGACAUGCAGGACGGGUCAAAAGGAGUAUUGGCAGUGCAAUCGCUGCGAAACAAUAUAAUGGCGUCGACCUUAUUAGCAUCCACGGCUAUCAUGCUUAGUUCCCUCAUCGCCAUCCUGAUGACGGGCGGGAGCAGCGCCAGCGAUAGAUCGUCCUGGUUUGUAUUCGGAGAUAAAAGCGACCUCGUUUAUUCAAUAAAGUUUUUCUCGAUAUUGGUUUGCUUCUUGGUGGCCUUUUUGCUCAACUUACAGUCCAUCAGGUAUUACAGCCAUGCAAGCAUCCUCAUCAACGUGCCACUCAACAAGAUGUCCCACCGACACCAGCAUCUCACGCUUGAAUACGUAGCCAACACGGUGAACAGAGGCAGCUAUUUUUGGUCCCUAGGACUUCGUGCCUUCUACUUCUCUUUCCCCCUCUUUUUGUGGAUCUUUGGACCCCUUCCUAUGUUCUUUUCUUGCACGGCCCUCGUUUUCAUGCUGUAUUUCCUCGAUGUUACUUUCCAAUUUGGGUGGGCCAUCGGGGCUGUGGAUGACAAAGGCCACAACGAAGACGAGGAAUUAGGGGUGGUUCAACUCGAUCGUAAUCCCUCAAAUUCCUAUUACCAAAUAUAAGCGAUGGUGGCGUCAUUAAUUGGUUCAAUCAAAGUUGAAUCGAAUUUGCUUUUUAAGUAAUAUUGGCGUGUAAUUUAGGUGGUUUCUACAGGCUUAAGGGCUUUUCACAUCGGAAAAAUGGUUGAAGGAGAAGUGUUUCGUAAAGAGGAAACUAAAUUGAAAACCGAAUGCUUGCUUUUCCUUCAAUAAAUAUUCACUUUACCUUACUAAGCAAUGCUUUCUAAUGUUAAGAAACUUACAAAAAAGGGCAUGGCGUGUAAUAAUUUACAACUCCGAAGUUUCUGUUUAUUUUAAAGGAGGACUAUUAUUUAACUCCAAGGAUGAUAUAUUAUUGCAGGUUUUAGUUGAUCCAUUUUUGAGGAAGUCAAUUCCAAGACAAAAGAGACAUUGUGGUACCAAGUUGAGUUCAUUUUGUACUUUUCUAGAAUUUGGUGACGUCAUAGGUAUCUAUUUCCACAUGAUUUUAUUCUCGGUUAGAGUAUAUUAUUAAAUAGAUUAAUUUAGAAUUUAUAUUAUUAAAAAUGGUUAGUAAUGUAAAAGAGAAAGGUAAUCCCAUAUUGGUUACACAUAAAUUUCUAAGAGGGUUCAUAUAAUUAUUUGCCUCUUUUCUUUACUGAGUACUUAGAGUUAAAAGGCCUAACAUGUGUGUGUUAUUAUUCGCGAAUGAUAUUUUUUAGAAUUCCAUUCUAAUUUAUUUUUCAUGAAAAACUAAAUAUUAAAGCACUUUUGAGAUACAUUUACAUAUUAUUCACCUCCAUUCUCUUUUGAGUAUUUGUAAGGGCUAGUCGGUAUUUUCUGAAUCUAAUAUAUCUUUGCAUCAAACUUGGAUACACUAUGCUAUAUUUUAAUUGGUUAAGCUUUGUUUUCUCAAAUUAAAAUAAUGACAAAACAUGUAGCUUUCCUGCAAGAUUUCUGGGGUUUAUCAAGAGCUGUGAUACUUAAAAAUUUUAAACCCAUUUUGCAAUAGUGAAAGUUAAGUCAUAUAAUAAUGAAGGGACAUGAAUCCUGUAUCAUUUUAUAUCUAAUAUAUGUAGUUUAGCCAACAUGAAUAAUAUAUAUGUAUGAGCUUCCAAGAAUGUUGUAUAUUCUAUCAAUUCUCUACCAGGGCAUAUCAUUAUAGUACUUGUUGAUCAUAAAGCUUGGGAUUAAUUUGUAUAUCGCGUGAAAUUUAAAGAAUAAUUAUUUGAAUGUGUAUAUUUGAUGAAAAUUAUUUAUUUGUCCGUUAAAAUUGUUAGCAUUUAUUUAUAGUAUAUUAUUAUAUUUGCCUAAAAAAGAAAUAAUAUUGAAAUUACCCUCUAGAUUCCAAAAUCUUGACACUAAUGAAAAUGUCCGAAGUAUUACAUUACAUGAGAAAAAAUAUAAAAAUUACUUGAUGUAAGGUUGACUUUGUUUAUAUUGACCUUCACCAUCAAAUUGAUGAGAAGGAUAAAAAUGGAAUUUUAUUUACCCAACAUGACAUGAGAAGGCCUCAUUGCCUUGCUUAUAUAAUAACCAAACAUAACCCAAGUCGCCCGCCCUUAUGUUUCCCACCAAUUUCAUUUCAGAAUAAUGUGAGAAAAUGGUAUCACAUUGGUGUAAGUAGCCAAACAGUACUGUGACUAUUAGAAUUAUCUUAAAAAGUGGAUUAUUCUAACUACAGUGAUUGGGCUCAACAUGGGUUUCCUUCUGCCCUAAAACCCACCACAAAAUAGCACAAAUACACUGUUCUUUCCUACCCAAGGUUCAGAUUUCUCUUCACAACAAUGAAUAUAUCAUGGCCUCCCCUCAAAAUUAAUAUUUUUAUUACCAACAAUAAAUCCUUAAAAAAGAAUCUUGUUAUUAGAUAUUCUUCCUUAGCAAAGUUAAAUACAAGGUUCUAAGUUUUCAUUUGAAUAUAUAUAUAUAUAUAUAUCUUAUUGUCAGCAUAAAUAUCAUAUUCCAUAGAAAAGGAUUUUGGAGCAGUGCAUCCCUCGGUUACUUACUUGAACGUGUUACCAAGCAAGCAAAUUCAAUGGAUGUUCCCAAUAAUAAUAAUAAAGCUUAAGGUGCAUAAAAUAGAAUAAGGCGGCUCGUGUUUGAAAAGGUUAGCCUCCUAAUUCACAAUUGUAACAAGAUGUAAACCAGAAUAACUGCAUUAACGUUAAAUUUAAAUAGAAGUUUUAAAAUUUUAAUAACGUCGGUGCAGCUGUUUAGUUGGAAAAUAAUUAAAAUGUUAUUUGGUUACAAAUUAAAUUAUAUAAAUUUAUAAUCUUGUGUCUUUAAUCAACUCAACACCAAUUCAAUUAAAUCCUAAUUUUUAGGAUUAUUUUUGUCUUUUUAUAUUUUUAUAUAAACUCAAUAAUAAUCCAUUUAUAUAUGGUGAUUUUUAAACCAUGUCAACUAAAAUUUCGUUUGAUUUUUACAUAAUUUUUCGUAAAUGUAUUUUUUAUAUAAUUUUUUUCUCCCAAUUCCUAUACUUGUCCUAAUCUAAUAUUCCCUUAAUAAGCAUUUAUCUAGAUUAAAUUUAUAAUCCUGAAUAUCAAAUUAUAAAAAAAAAUUAAAAUUUUAAGAUAAUAUUAUUUUUACUGUAAAGGUUGAUUCAAAGCUAGCGGUAGUAUAUAUUUUAAAGUUAUUUUGAUAUAAUAUUUUUAUUAUAAAUAGAACUGCCAGUAUUUCUGCAUUUGGUUUGUUAAAAUUUAGAUGGUUUUCUCUUAAAUGAAACCAAUAAAAAAUGAAUGCCUAUAUUUAUAUAUAUAUAUAUAUAUAUAUAUAAAGUUGAAAAGGAUAAUUUGAAUACAAAUAUUAAACCUAAUAUAAUAAAUUGGUUGAGUUAAAAAUAUAAUUUUAAUUUUAAUUUUAAUAUUUAAAGUUUAAGAUUUAUCAACAUCUAAAAUGAAUAUUAUAGGUUAAAAUAUGCUUUAACAGAGGUGAAUUAGAAAAUUUAUUUAGAGAUGAAACUAGAUUUUUAUAAUUUUUAAAGAAUUAAAUUAAUUUUUCAUUUUUUAGAGGGUCCAAAAUGUAAUUUUAUUUUUACUAAUUUAAAAUUUUAAAAUUUCCAAAGAGUCUAAAUAGAUAAUUUUUCAUUUUAGGGGGCCAGAGCCUUUGCUAGUCCCUAGAUACACUACUAUGCUCUAAGCUCCUAUACUCUUUGCAUGUUUGAAAUUUGAUUAUUUUAUUUUUUUUUAUUUUCAAUAAUUUAAUUUCUUUACUUUUUUAGAUUUCAAAUUUUAAUUCUAACCGUUAUAUUUAACUAAAUUAUUUUAUUAAAUUUAUUAACAUGGCAUUUUAAAAUAAAAAACACACACACUUAGUAGCCAUUAAAAAAAGUGUUACAAUAAACCUAAAUUUAACAAAAAGAAUUUUAAUGAUAUUAAUAAAUCCAAAAUCUAGAAGAAUUAAAUUCCUUAAAACAAAAAAAAUUAAAUUGAAAUUGUAUGGAAUAUAUUUUAACCGUAAUAAAAAAGAGAAAUUUACUUUCUCUUAGGGCAAAAUCACAAUUUUCAAAAUCAAAUUGAGUCAACUGGUUAGAUUGUUGGGAUUGAAAAUUAAUUGGUGAGCGAUCCAAAAAUAAAAGGUAAGAUUAAUUGACUCGUGACUGAAUGUAGUAAUUAAACUACUCAAUUUAAAUUUUAAAUAACCAAUUUAAUUAAAUCUAAUGAAAUGAAAAUUAAUGAAGCAUCCGGUUGGUAGAACCGGAGUCAAAAAGCGACAGCCAAUGUUGAUAUUUUAUUUGCUUUGGGUUGAGCAUCUCAAUUGAAUUGGAAAAAAAGAGGUCGUGGGAGGGGAGGGUUUAGACUCUGGCAGGCGGCCAAGUGCGGUUUUCCCUCUCCACUUUGCGCUCCACGUUAGACUCUCGCUUUAAUGCUCUUAACUCUUACUUUUCAUUAACUCCAAUAUUAGUUUUUUUUUUUUUUUUGCAAAAAAUAAAUAUUAUUAUGGAUUAAUCAAUGGGAGUGGUUGGAGUCUAAUUGUUUUUUAAAGAAAUUAUUUUAAUAUACAUUAGUACUUUAUAAUGUUUAAUUGUAAAUAUAAAUUUUGAAAAAAAAAAUGAAGAACUAUAAUUGUUGAGAGAAUGUUAUAGUGUAGAAACAUGAAGUGGUAAGAAUAAAGUUUUGGAGUGGUGUAGUGGAAUAGAUUUGGGUGGGAUCUCAACAAUAGAGUCUAAAUUAAUUAACAUAAUUAAGAACCCUGAAUGCUCUUUAAAUACGCCUCUCAUUUCAUUCUCUGUGUAAGUAAACUACGCAGCGUCUUCAACCCAAGCACUAUUUCUUUGUUUCCCCCCUCAAACAAAUACACACUCGUCUUUUAGGCAAGAACGCUAGCCAAACCAUCUUUCAAACUCUGCUCUGUCCAAAAUGAAUAUGGAGAAACAAUAUUUGGAUUGGAUACUAGUCCCGAUGGGGAUUCUUUUAAUGGUGACCUACCAUCUAUGGCUUCUUUAUCGAAUCUUAAAACAUCCCACCAAGACUGUCAUCGGCGUCAACGCCAUCAACCGCCGUUUUUGGGUUCAAGCUAUGAUGGAGGUUGGUCUUUUACUUCUUUCUUUAAAUCUUGAUUUCCUUCCUAUAGAAAUGGUAACUAAUUGAUGUAACAAAAAAUUAUUGGGGGGGGGGCGCAUGCAGGAUGGGUCAAAAGGAGUAUUGGCAGUGCAGUCGCUGCGAAACAAUAUAAUGGCGUCGACCUUAUUAGCAUCGACGGCUAUCAUGUUGAGUUCCCUCAUCGCCAUCUUGAUGACGAGUGGGAGCAGCGAUAGAUCGUCCUGGUUCUUAUUCGGAGAUAGAAGCGAGUUUGCAUUUUCGAUCAAGUUCUUUGCCAUAUUGGUUUGUUUCAUGGUGGCCUUUUUACUCAACUUGCAGUCCAUUAGGUAUUACAGUCAUGCAAGCAUCCUCAUCAACGUGCCCUUGAAGAAGAUGGCCCACCGCCACCAACAUCUCACAGCUGAAUAUGUAGCCAACACAGUGAAUAGAGGCAGCUACUUUUGGUCCCUAGGACUCCGUGCCUUUUACUUCUCUUUCCCCCUCUUCUUGUGGAUCUUUGGACCCCUUCCUAUGUUCUUUUCUUGCAUUGCCCUUGUUUUCUUGCUGUAUUUCCUUGACAUCACUUUCAAAUUCGGGUGGGCGGUUGGGGCGGCGGAUGACAAUGGCCACAACGGCGAUGAAGAAUUAGGAGCUUCAAGUACUCGACCCUAAUCCCGUUAAAUAAUUCGUUCAAUCAAAGUUGAAUCGAAUUGCCUUUUUUACUCCUCGGGAAAAUAAGGGUACUGUUUCUUUUAGGUUUCUACGUUAAUUAUCAUCUGUAAGGAGCUGGUUUGAUAAUUCGAAAAGGGUUUUAAGCUUUUUCAUAUAUGAAAAUGCAAUGAAGGAUAAUUGUUCCAUAAAGAGGAAAUGAAAAAUGAAAGCUUGCUUUUUCUUAGAUAAAUAUUCAUUUUCCCUUAGUCAGCAAUGGUUUCUAGUGUUAAGAAAUUUACCCCAAAAAAGGAGAUGGCGUGUAAGUUCACCAAAAGUUGCAGUUUAUUUAAAAGAAGAAAGUAUUGCAGAUUUUAGUUUAGGGUUAUGAUAAUCCUUUUUUAAGGUAGUUAAUUCAAAGUCAGAAAAGACAAAAGAGAUUAAGUGGAAGACUCCACGAACUGAGCUACGAGACAUUGUGGUACCAAGUUGAGUUCCAUUUGUACUUUUUUGGAAUUUUGAGUUCAUCAACUUGGUGAUGUCACAGAUACCCACUUUCACAUCAGAUAUAUUAUUCGAUUCCGUGGAAGGGAUAUUCGCCACUCUCCACGUGCACUGCAAUAGCUUAUAUAAUAAAGGGAGAUGAAUCCUUUGUCAUUUUAUCUCUGCUAAUAUAUGUAGCUAGUCAAUGAGAAGAGUAUAAACUAUAGGCAACAUGCAACCAACAAUUUUCAACAAAACACUAGCUACUAAAUUUGGAUUAUUCAAGAAAUAUUUUUACAUUAAUACAUUCCUUUCUCAUAUGUGUUGCUGAUCUGAGCUGCCAAGAAUGUUGUAUGCUGUAUAGAUUCUCCACCUUUGACAUGCUUAUAGUUGUUGUUGACAAAGCUUGUGAUUAGUUUUUUUUUUUCUUGAAAUUUCAUAAUUCCUCAUCAUUUCCAAACAUUUAUCUAUGGUUCUUUUUUUUGGUAUGUUGAACAAUCAUGAAUAAACUGUUCCAUAUAAUGCAAAACCUCCUCAUGCAAUGACCUGUAGGCAAGAGAAACUUACAACUCAUACAACCACCAUGUUCAGCAAGUAUAUACCAUAUGAUUGAGUGUUUGAAAAUAAGCAUGUAAGCAAUAAGACUGAGUGCAGACAAUGGACAGAUCAAACAUGAUGGGGGGUCGAAUGGUUGGAGGAUGCGCAUUUGUUUUAGGAAUAACAUGUAACAUGAAGAGACUACAUUUGGUAAGGAUAUGUUCUUACAUUCAGGUGUCUUCAAUCAUAUUUUCUCUGAGCACAAUGCUACUGUAUUGUAUAAAGAAUAAUGAAUGAAAAGGUUAUGGACAAGUGAGAAAAUCAAUGAAACUGCGCCAGUAAAAACUAGGUACCUAUUAUCAUACUAUCAUUCAUCUCUGAACAUCAGUUGCUUUUAACUUCAGCUUCAUGAUACCAGCUUGAACAACUAUUUCUUCUUUAGAUGUGUCAACUUUUAAAACUGUUGCUCUCUUGUCAAGGGAUGAAACAUGCACUGUAUCACCAACCCUGGGAAGCUCAGUAAUUUUUUCUGCAUCAUAAAGGCCAAAGGAAAUAUUUACUUAUAAAAACUCAAUGACUUUUUCACUGGUCUAAGCUUAAUAGAGACAUUCCAGCGCAAGGAGUUUUCCACUCCUACACUAUACAAGAAACUUCAUCUUCUUAUAAAUGAUACCUGAUUGUGGUUGCUUAAUAACUUGAAUGGAGGAUGAACUCAUAUUGGUACCCUGCAGCUCAUUUUCAACUGCCGUAGCAUGCUUGUAAUUAUUUGCUAGUUUACGCUUGCUUGCUUUACUGAGUUGAGAUUGUUUCAUUGUAGAUGUACGAAGCUGCCUUACCUUUUUGUGAAGGGUUGAUCGAGCAACUGCAGCAGCCUCAGACAGUUCUCGCAUCUUCUUAUAUCUUUGUUGAGUGCCAAGAUCCUGGAGCUUUCUUCUGCUGACCAAUAGCUUUUCAUGGAGACCUCUUGACAUCCUUUAAUCACAAGCAGAAGCCAGACAUUAGAUGGAGCAUCCACCGGCAAAGUUAUAAUUAGUAAUUAUCAACACUACAUGAUUAGAAAGCAUUUUUUACAUAAUGGAUAAAUGCUGCAUUGACAAACUCUUACUUCUCUCCAAAAUUCAGUUUUCCAUGGUUAUUGGCCUAUCACAUAGGAGACUGCAAAUGGACCUUAAAUAUUGUCCUCAAGUCAACCAGUAAUAGGCGACAUGACAAGAGAGCUUAAUACAUGCAGGGCUGAAUCACAGCUUCCUUUACAAGGAAGCGAAUCACUAAAUUAUUCAGAAUAAGAAUUUUAGAAUACCUUGAAUUCAGAAAAAGCGAGAGGUAGCAUUAUUUAGUUAGGCCGGUUUAACCAUUCUUAAUUUUGGAGAGAUUAGUAUGCCUAAAGCUGAUGGAAUGUGGUUGCAUCAUUAUAUUUUCAUUUUUGAUACUUUCAAAUUUCAAUAAUGUAUUAGUCUAAAAAUAAUCAUUUCCAUAAAAUCCACCAUCCAAGGUCUUUGCUUUAGAAAUAAUGUGCAGGCAAAAUUCCUUCACCAAAUAAUAAAAACUCUUAGGGUGUGCUUGAUUGGGUAGAAAAGUGAAGGGAUGGAAGGAGGGAGUGGAAAAGUGGAAAGAAAAUAAUUUUGAGUGUACUUGAUAGGGAAGAAAAAUUAGAGGAAAGAAAAAGGAGAUAUCAUUUUCCAUCCUAAGGCAUAAAAACCAAUCUUUCCAAAACGGAAUGAUAAGUGGAGAGAAAAUGAGAGAGAAAUGCAUGUUAGUUCAAAAUUAUGCAAUUUUCAAAUUUUUUUUAUUUUUUUUCCUUUCAUUUUUCAACUCUACCAAGCAAUAGAGGGAAAGAAAAAAAUUUUUCUUUCAAUUUUUCCAUCUUUCCUACAAAGCACACCUAUGGAAGAAAAAUUAUAUUUUCCAUCUUUCUAUUUUUCUACCCCUUAAAUUUUCCAUCCUUCUAAUUUUCUUUGAAGAGGAAGAAAAAUAUAAAGAUGGAGAAUUAAAAUUUUUUUCCAGAGUUGUUUUUGGUAGGAAAGAUGGAAAAAUUGAAAGGAAAAGUAAUUUUCUUUCCUUCUAUUGCUUGGUAGAGUUGAAAAAAAAGAAAGAAUAAGAUAAAAGAUCUGGAAAAUGCAUAAUUUUGAACUAACAUGCAUCUCUCUCAUUUUCUCUCCUCCCAUCAUUCCAAUUUAGAACGGUUGGUUUUUAUGCAUUAGGAUGGAAAAUGAUCAACUUUCCUAUUUUCGUUCCUCUCACUUUUCUCCCCUACCAAGCACACUCAAAUUUUAUUUUCUUUCCACUUCUCCACUCCUUCCUUCUAUCUCUCCACUUUUUACACUCAACCAAGCACACCCUUAAUGCUACAACAGCCUUAUAUAAAUUCUAGUUGUAGACUAGCCAAAAAAAUGAAGCUCCAUGUACACAGUUGCCAGAUAAAAUUGGACAUUGGCAAAAAGGAAUUACGUUUGUCUAAAAUGUCUGCAAUUAGCAGGGAAAAUGGAAUGGAAAACAGCAUGCUUUAUAAAAUUGAUUUGGAAAUUAGUAUUCUUUUUAACCAAUAUCAUUGCCCUGUAUAUUUUAGAAUAGUUAGAGUUUAGACUCAUUCAGUGAGGAUAUAAAUAUGUCAAAAUCCAUUAGAAAACUCAUAAAAGACUAGCUGAUCAGAAAUAACUUUUAAAGAUGCUGAACAAGGUAACGAGCAUGAUUGAGAGCAGUUAUCUUCCUAGCCUUUUAAAAUUAAAUCAAUGGGCAUUAAAGAUUUUUUACUUCACAUCCAGUAAUCAAAUUUUCAAGAAAGAUACAUACGUCAGAUAAUGCCUAGACUCCUUGAUAAGCUCUUGGAAUUUUUGCUUGUAUGUUUCCAUAUCCAUUAUUACCUGCCAUAAGAAAUGAACCAAAUAUUAUAAGGAAUACUGAAUAUGUAGGAAGUAGGAUGAAACAGAGAGUUCAGUAUUAAUUUUCAACUACAUGGUACAUACAAGUCCUGAAAACAGUCGUUUUCAGUAGCUGUAAAAUCAGUAACCAUACAACUGUGCAACUCAACAAUAGUAACUUUUGUAAAGCAAAGUACACAAUAAUAGUUAAUUAACCCAUGAGCCGGUCCUAUCGAAUAUCAUAACUUAACUAAUAACAAGCAUAUCACAUCAUUACCCAAUUACCUCAUCAAUCUCUGCACUAGCAGCACCAUAUAAUUCGCGAGCAUUAUCAACAAUACUGCUUGGUACACCCAAUCUUUCAGCUAUAUUGAUUGCAUUUGAACGACCUAAAAAAUUGUUACACUGCCAAAGUAAGCCAUGGUAACACUCGUUAUAACACGAUGAUGCUAACCAGAAGUUCCUUUGUUGCAAAACUUGGCUUCAGAACUUUGGUGCAAGCCACAGUUAACUAGCAGAAAACAGUCCAAGAAUCAAGAAGUUGAUUAUUGUCACAUACUCAAAACUGAAUACCUGGUACUCCCCAAAGAAUCUUGUAAGUUGGCUUAAAAUUCUCUUCAUCGAACUCCAUGCAAGCAUUUUCAAAAGCAUCAUUACUGCCAAACAUAAUAUAACAUCAAGAAUUUGGUGCAGCAACACAAUCCUUAUUAUAGAUGAAAGAGACAGGAGAUAGAUAACAACAUAUAAUUUAUAUGAAUGAGUUGAAACUACAAUAAUCAUAAACCAUAAACCUGAUCACAGAUUAUAUUUCCUUCAAAAAGUAGAUGUGUCAGUAGACUGAAGCAAGCAACUAUAUACCUAUAUUUCAAAGUUUUAAGUUCGCCAUGAUGCGUUGUAGCUAUUGUCAACAAUGCACCACUUCUAGCAAAAGAUUCUAGCAGAGACAUUCCCAGUGCUGCUCCUUCAAGGGGAUUAGUUCCUGCACCAACCUAGUAGAUAUGGAAUGGGGAAAAAUCCGUUUUAAAUUUGCUUGUAACUGAGAAGUAUAUUUCUUUCCUUCAACCUCACUGUUAAUUGAGGUAAGUAAUCAAAGAAGCUUAAUUGAAACAUACUUCAUCUAGCAGCACCAGUGAUCGCCUUGUGGACUGUGAUUGAAUUUCCUGCAACACAAUGUGUAGUAUUUAAUCCCCAAAACUAAAGAAUUCAUAGUUGACAACUAAAAUCCAAACUCUAUAAGGAAUGAAUCAAAGGCACCAAGCUUUUAAUCUUAGGAAUGAUGUCCAACCAAUUUGAAGAGAUGAGUUUGUUGGCCUAAAAUGCUGAAUAUUUACACUGCAGCCAGUCAUACACUUUGAACCGUCCAAGAAAUUGGUUCAUCUCAAACAAGCAGGAAGAGUUAAAGAAAGUAUAUCAUUCUUACACUAAUUUGUUUCAAGUGGCCAGAGAAUGUAGAUAAUGAUUGAGACAAGGACUGCUCAUCGCCAAUAUCAGCAAAAACACAAUCAAACCAAGGAACUUUUGCAGAUUCUGAAGAUAAAACAUGAAGACCUGCAAUAUUACAGAAACUAGGAUAAGGUUAUGCAGUAUAGGGCAAAAAAUAACCAUCAAAAGAAUAUAACAGGUAAAGCAAAUAAAACUACUGCUCAGUGAAGUUAUAUUAAUAUUCACCAUAAGCAUUAAGAGAAAACUCGGUUAAAUCGGAAAACUUGGUAUAUGGUUUGAAACAUUAAUACUGUGAUUCAUCUUUUGUUUCACAAGCAUUUCUGUCAUGCAUACAAGUCAACACAGCUGGAGUGCAAGCAAAAAGCUUAGAACGAGAGAAAGCUAAUAUGUUAAUAACUACACAACCAUGGAGCAUUAUAUAAUUCUGACGCCUCCAUUCAGUUUUUCAGGAGCAUAAAUGAUUCAUUAAAGAAAAACAUAUACCUGAUUUUGCCAUCAUAGCAGCCAAUCCAAUUGUCUUUAAGCAUAUAGUUUUACCACCAGUAUUAGGGCCAGUUAUGACCAGCACUCUUGUCUUCUGAGAAAUAAAAAAAUCAACUGGUACAGGGGGAGCUUCUUCUAGUGCUCUAACCUGGAACCAAGAGAAUAGUCCUUUUGAAACUGAACCUUGACAUGAUUCGAUAUUAAUAUUAUUUAGCCACUGAUUAAACUAACAGAUUAUGGAUAAUAUUAAGUUAUUUAACUUGUUACCUGCUUUUGCAAGGAUGAAAGAUCUAUUUCUGCCUCUCCUUUCACAGCCAUAUUCUCUGCCUGCAUUUUUCUUCUCCUGAUUUCCUAAGGCAAAAGACAGUAAGGAGUAGAAGAAUGGAUAACUGCAAGUAAUUAGAAUGAAGUUAACCACUUGAAUCUUGAGAGUUGCUUGAGCAAAAUUUAUAGUAGAUAAACAGCAGUUCUAAACACCACUGAGGACACAAGAAGAGCAAAAGAAUUCAAUUUUCAUAAACUUAUAUGAAAGUUACAAUUCUAAAAAGUGUUUUCAGACAAAUAAAGGUUUAGGACAACAAAAGUUUGAAAUAUGUUACUUACAGCAGCAGCACUGCGGACAUUCUUCCGGGCUGUGCUUAGCUUUUCCCUGUGCUGCUGAAGUAAUAAAGGAUGAUAAGCUUUAGGCAGAUAAAAAAUCCAUUCUUUUUUUGGAUUUGAGGCCUGUGAAGUUUUGUCCUUUGAUCUGUAGGGUUCAGCCAUUAAAGGUCCAUCAAUGUCUUCUGGCAGGAAUAUAUUGGGGUAUGUCCCUCCAUAUGAAAGACUAUAAGUUGCACGAGCAUAAAUCUAGAUGUCAAGAAAAAGAAACAGAAUGACAAUGGAAUAAUCAACAAGUAAAAAUAAAAUAUUAUUUCAUCAAAAUGAAAAAGAACGUUACAAAAUGUAGUCCAGAGAAAUAUUUUGAAGCUCUUGUAUUGGUGAUGUAGAAUUAUGACAGGUUCUACUUUGUGAGAACCUAAUAGGUCUUUCCUCAUAGUUGGCAUUAAGCAUGCACACAUAUCUUUGAGCCUUUUUUUAGCACAAAGGAGAACAUGCCCAUCACAAACCAAACUGGUACAAUUACGAUAUUCCUAAAGCUCUUUAAGGCAUCAACUAUUAGAUCCAAAAAAUAUCAGAUCUAAACCUUUCUAAGCAUAUUUUCUCUUCACCUUUUUCAUACAUAAAUUAUAAUCCAAGAAGAAGUUGCAAGAAAUCACCAACCAUAUCCAAUUGAAUUGCAGUUCUCAAGCUUUUUUCAAUGUCAUCAAGAUCCAUUUGUAUCUACAUAGAUAGUAGCAACAGAAACACAUAAAGAGAGAUAAAUGACAGUCUGGAUAAGAAAGUAAUUUCAGACAUUAAAGUGAGCAACCUUUUCUGUCACCAUCAAAAGCACAUCAGCUUCGGCCUUUGCCACCAAUGCUCUUGCUUGCUGUAACUCAUCAUUCAAAGGAACAGCUGCAAGUGGCUCUAUGAUACUUCCUGAACCACUAGAACCAUUUAUAUCCUUUCAAGAACUUGGAAUUAAAAGGUAAGCUCCCAUCAACAGCUCAUGAGCACAAAAGCAAUACAAAAAGAUCUGACUUUCAAAAAUAUUUUAGCACUGAUCCAGGAAAACUGGCAAAAUCAGGAAAUGCUACAGGUUUAAAUUUUGAAUUAGCUAUAUUAAUACAAAUUGACCCAUCUCUUCAUCCCAUGGUCCUCUUAGAUGUCAGUUAUUUGUCUCAAAAAGUAAAUGAAUUGUGCAUUUUCUCAAACAAUGUCGCUGGAGAAGAAAUCUCUAUGUACCAUAGUCAAAUUUUAUUUCAUAAAUAUUGAAGAUUAAGCUACAUUUUCUUUGGUUCAAGUUUUACAUUUUAAUAAGGAUGUGGGAAAGGGGAAAAGUAAUCUUUUCUAUAAGGCUUUUCAACUUGAUUCAUCAUUUAGAAAUGAACUGAAGGUCCCUGAUUAACAAACUGCAAACCAACUUGUUGAAACAGUUAAUGAAAGUAUUCUCCUUUCAUCCAAAAUAGGGUUUGCCAGUGUCUUUGUGUGCCUCAAUAAUACAAAAUUUACCAUGGCAUGGCCCUGCUAAGCAGUAACCUCUAAGCUCUAACACAUAAGACACAAAACUGGGCUAUACCUUUUCAUAUCAAACAUAGACGUAAUUGCAUAAAUUGAUGCAGCAAUUUUACGCACCUGGACAGUAGAAGACCCUUAAAACCUGUUGGCUGAUCAGUCCCUGAACUUAUACACCAUCUACCACCAACACUGCUCGCCACCUUAAUCAAUAACACAGUUGCAAUUAGGAUAACAGACUUAUUUCCAUGAAGAUUGAUAUAGCAUACGUUGGUAAUAAAAUGCAUCUUACCAUAAGGGCAGCUUCUUUUGUUUCAUUCCUAAUUAGUUUGUCCAUUAAUUGAUGCAACUGAACAGACAAGCAACUACACAGUUAAAAUGCAAAGUAGGAAAAGAAAAAAAGACUCGAGCCGAUAUUAUAAUUAACAGAAAAAUAUGUGAAAACAACACAGGUAAAUCAGAAAUGGUAGAUUUAACCUGAUAAACAAAAAUUUAGCAUAUAUAAGAGCAUUUUCCUUGAGCAUGAAAAGGAGUGAUUUUGAUGCUGGAAGUACAGAACAUAGGUAGAGCUAGACCAAAAUUGAUAUAAUUUGAAGUGUAUGACCUUAAUUGAGAUGUAUGAAGAUAAAAGGAAUCAUGUAGCCUACUGCACAGGCAAAAAAGUGUGAGUUACAGGUUUAAAGCUUAGCUGAAUUUAAUAAGAUUUCUAUCUCAUUCACACAAAGAUGUUUGAACCAUAGUUUUAUUUAAUUUCUCGUUCUUUCUGAGGGGGCUGUUGAGAACAACCAAGCAAGGACGGGAUAACAACUGAGUUCUUUUACCAUGGAGCCUAAGAAGAAAAACCAAGAAAUUUCACCUUUCUUUCAAGUGUUCGGACUUGAUCACGAGCUUUUUUAAGGGCAGAACUCUGAAAAAAGAAUUUCAAGACAGAAUAAGAUGAAUGGCAUAUGAUUAAAAACAAAACUCUAUACUUAAUUUCACAGAUGAAAUUUUGAGGCAAAAGGAACAAACCGCAGAGUCUUUAACAGAGCCAUCUUCAUCUAUAACUUGCUGAAUCAACUUGAUUAUUGACCUAUUUACAACCAGUUGAGUAAUCUGCAAGCAAUUCCGCCAAAUAUUCAACCUCGAUUGAUUAACAGUUUGAAAUUGCUCUUACUUAUAAUUUUAAAAUAAAUUUAAUAUUGGAAAAAGAAAAAGAAACUAAAUCUAAAUGCGCAUUUGCAUUUGGAAGAAGGGUGAAAGGCUAAGCAUUUGAAGGGCAAAAUUUACCAUUUCACUGAGAGGCAUGAAUUGCUUAUACCAGUCAGAGUCUUGCUUGAUUGCAGCUUUUAAACUAAGCUGCAAAGCUUCAACAAACUGCAGUAGAGAUAGAAGAGCCAUUGCUUCGUUUGCAUCUAAAGGUAAACCCCUCCGUGCAUGUUUGAUAGCAGAUUCAACCUUUACAGAGACAAAAACACAAACACUUGGAAGAGCCAUAAAUCGACAAAUUAAAAGCUGGAAGAAAGUGAAAAAGAAGAAGAAGAUAUUUACGAGAGCAAGGUCGACGGAAGUCAAGUCCAAGUUAAAAGAGUCAUGAUUGUGCAUUAGGAUCGCAGCAUUGGUUUCUUGUAAAAGCCUCAAACUCUCUUGGAAUGUUUGAUCGAGAGACCAAAGCUGGGCCUAUCAAAUAAUCAAUCGUUACACCCCAAUCAAAGAAAACCGAAAAAAAAAACUGUGGGUCUUAUCUAAAAGGAAGAAAAAAACUGAAAGGAAACCUUAGUUGCUUGACGACCCAAGGAUGUGCGGGCAAAAGAGGCAACGGAGUGGCAAAGCUUAUCCCAUUCUAAAACCCUGAGAGAAUUGGAUUUGACUUUGGAUAGAUUAUGGUGGUCCAUCGAGGAUGAUACUUUGAAAUAAGCAUUCCUUCUUCGGAUUACAUUGAUUGGGCAACCAUGAAUGGUGCCUACUGCUGCAAAAAGUGGCACUGGCAUGCUCAUCAGCUGUUACAAAUGGCGGGAGGAUGGGGAUUGGUAUUCAACGGCCUCCCUAACUCCACCAAAUUAUAAGUUCGCUUCAAUUUUAUCCGUUAUAAUGAUAAUUUUAAUCGUUAGUAUAAGGGUUAAUAUCAGAUUAGGCCCCUGUACGUUAUUAUUUCUUCUAAUAUAGUACCUCUACUUUCAAAAUGUCGAAUUUGAUAUCUAAAUUUCAGUUCUGUUUAUUAGACCAUAAUGUGGUUACAAUCUUUUAUACAUGACACGUGACGCUUUUUUGAUGACCUUUGAUUAAAGUUUAAACAACUCUCCACAAUUAAUUUAAAUAUAAAGUUGUUUUUUUAAGAAUUAUGAUCCUAUACACAGCUAGUGAAGUAAAAAAGAAAAUUCCACAAGUGAUACCAUUUAUUUUUAAGGUAUAAUAAAAUAAUAAUAAAUAAUUGAAAAAGAUAGUUUUUUUACUCCGCUCACAGUUCACAAAAUAAGAACCCUUUUUAAUACUGAAAUUGAUCACUAAUUAUCAUUUUUGGCACAAAGAAAACAUUAUGUAUCUAAGUGAAUAAUAGUAUAGUUUAAAGGCCAAUUUUGUAGUUUAUAUAAAAAGAGGGAUAAAUAUUAAAACUAUACAUGAAUUUUGGUCUAAUGAUUUAAUUCAAAACCCACAAAUUAUUAACACAAUUAUUGAUUUAUCAUCAAUUUAUGUUUACUUAUUGCAUACACAAAUAAUAAUAUUUAUCUAAUAUAAAACUAAAUUGAUGCAUUUAUUUCUUUAAAUGUAUAUGAUUGAAUUAAAAUUAUGAACCAUAAUCAAAAUUUCAUAUUAAUUAUAUAAUUUUAGUUUCUAUAGAUAAUUUUAAGAUUUUUUUUUAAAUCAAGGUAUAUAUAUUGUUUUUAUAACAUUAACCAAAAAAAUUUAAAAUUUUGCAAGUCGUAUUAAUAAAUCUGUUAAUUGGAAAUUGAAUUGAUUUUAUGAUUGAAAAAUAAAAAAUAGAAAAUUAUUAAAUUUUAUUUAAUAAAUAAAAUUUAUGCCAUUCAUAUUUCUCCCAGUCUGCGGUGAAAAUACAGAUAAAUCAAACACCGUCUUCAUCUUAUGAUUUCUCCCAUUGGAUUUCUAAAAAAGGUUAAACCAUAGUCAUGCAAACAGGAAUAGUAUAUAUAAUCCACAGCUCAUAAUAUUACAAACAUAACAAUAAUGGAGAUAUAACGCCGAUCAUCAUCAACCCAAUUAAGGGUGAUACGUGAUAUAACCCAACCUGUAAUCAUUUGGUUGAAUUAAACCUUCUAGCCCCUACUAUUCCAUUCUUCAUCGUCAAUUGGUUUUAGCUUCUUCCUUGCUAGAGGCACCAUCAUGUUCAACUUCAUCGUUGUUUACCGGUUCUCCACUUGCCUUAACCUUAUCAUCUUCGUCAUCAUCGUUCUUCGACCCGGAUUUACCGUCAUCCUUUUCCGGUUCAGUAGACGAGGAUUCACCCUCCUUCGAAUCAGAAAUAUUUUUCUCCGUCUUCUUCUCACCUCCGUUGGCAUCGUCCUGCAUGUAAUAGAUUAUUAUUAACAAAUAAGUGUAAUACACGUAUAUUAUGAAUGCAUCAAUGUAAAGUACAUUAGCAGCGGUAUCGGGUUUAGAUUUCUCGGGCUUCAUAGGAGCACCAGCAGUGGUAUCGAACUCCUUGGGUUUGCUUGCGCAGCCUCCCAUUAUUAAAACGUUAGGAACUUUCGGGGAUGAUUGGCGGUGGUGGUGGUGGGAUUGUACUACGCUGUUGUGGUUUAAGAAAUGGAAGCAAUACAGGGAACCCGUUAAAAUAGGUAUAUCGGCUACUAAUAAUUAGGAGAGUUUGUCGGGCAUUGGCAUGGCAAUGUUAGGUUCAAUUGUAGGCUGUAUAUCUAUAUUUGUCACCUUUUGUUAAUUGGUAUAUAGAUUGAUCACCGUAGUUUUUCACGGCGACUUUUACGGCAGGGUGAGGGGUGAGAAAUGUAUAUAUUGGUUGGAGUUGGUUGUCACUGUUAUAUUGACGGAAAUUUAUGGCCCUUCUACAUGCACCAAAAAUGGAAAUUUUGGUCUAUUUUGGAAAAAAAUUAAUUAAAAUUUAAUACGAUAUGAAAUUUGAUAUGAUUAGUGAAUUUUUCAAAAUUUAUAAAAUUUGAUAUCGUUAGUAUUAAAAUACAUAUAUUUUUCUCUUAAUUUUACUACAAAACCAAUAAAAAAACUCACAUCAUCAAUGAUAAAAAUAUUUAAUUUCAAAAAGUUUAGUGAUUAAAUUGAAAAAUUAAGAGUUGAAUGAAUAAAAUAGGACGGAAGACAUAAUUAGAUAAUCAUUUUUAUAAUUUACCCUUAAAAAUAAUUUUUAACAUGUAUUUAACAUUUCACAUCGUUAUUUAAUAUAUGAAAUUUUACAUGCUUUUACCCCUUAGCUGGCUUUUGAAGCUGAAAUUCGUGGCAAGUGAAAAAUUAUAUUUAAUAAAUAUUAUUAUACAAUAUUUUAUGUUUUAAUAUUGUUAAGAUAUCUAUGAAACCUCUCACAAUUAUUUAGAUCUCACUCUUCAACAAACCUAGAGUCACAAUUCCCUCGGACUAAGAGGGGUCGAAUUGAAAUUCAAAAUUUUAAUUAAUUAUGAAUUUCUAAGUUUAUUACAAACACCAUUGAUAAGAAAUAGAUAAUAAAUGAUUACUGGAUUAAUUAACAAAACCAUAAUUUGUCAUAAUUUUUUAGAGGCAAAGAAAAAAUCAACUACUUAAUUAAACCAAUAUUUUGGUAAUCUGAAUAGUAUCGUUUUAAACUUUUUAUGCUAGUUUAUACUUGUGUUAGUUAACUCGGUCGAUACUAUGUCUGAAAUGAAUUUAUAAAAAAUAGAUCACAAUGAAAAAUCAGUAAACUGUAAUGGACAACUAAGAAACAGAAGGACAAGCUUUUAUGGAAGCUAAAGAUACCAUCAUACUGGUAAUUCUUAGCCAUUAAGGCGUUAACAAAGAUAAAUUUCAACAGCUUUGACGGCUUCCUUCUUUACUCGUGUGUUAGUAUUUUUAGUUUUUUUUUUUUUUUUUUUUUGUCCAAAGGAAACGGAAUCUUCAUUAUUGUUAUACGAAGACGAAGAUAAUCCUUCAUUUGUCCUUGUACUCGUUUUUCCUUGUUCGGCGUUUGUACAUUGAUUACAUUUAAGGUGAAUGAAUUCAUUUGCUAUCGAGGCAACUCGAUUCAAGGAUUUUAAGCUUUGAUUUGUUGAAGAAUUUUGGUAUUGGUCUGAAUCGGGAAAGAAACUAAACACGAAGGGAGCUUCCUUUUUCUUUUUCAGUUGCCAAAAGGGAAGAAGCUCGGUCCUUUGCCUAUUAAUAUUCUUACGAAUUCCGUUUGCAGGCAACCCAUUUCUCCGUUUUCGUGUUUUAGAGCAUUCGAAUCAAUCGAACAUGGCGGUGUUGUUUUGUGAAUAUGCAUUGUCGUUGCUGUUGUUGUUGCUGCUGCUGCUCGUUCCUUUCUCCUAUUCCUUCACUCUUGGACAGCAACAGCGAUUUUCGGCCAUACGUUUGCCUUCCGAGGUCGAUCCAUGCACCAGUUCCCCUCGGCCUAAUUUCUGCCCUGCUAACUGCUUCAUGGCAGACCCUGUUUGCGGUGACAACGGUGUUACGUACUGGUGCGGGUGUGCCGAUGCUUAUUGCGCGGGGACUAAAGUUGCCAGGAUAGGAUUUUGCGAGUCAGGUAACAAAGUUGGAAAUGGAUCUCUUACUGUGCAAGCACUGCUUUUGGUGCACAUAGUUUGGCUCAUCGUUCUGGGUUUUACUGUUUUGUUGGGCCUUAUAUGAAUAUUUGUUUUUUUUUACCCUCGACAAAGAACAAUGAGGGCUCUUUUUAAUUUGAUUUUAGUGGUAAUUCAUACAGAAGCAUAUUUGUAAGCAUUGAUUUAAGUGAGCAAGCAUUAGGUUUUUCAUUUUCCUGACAUUUUGCCCAGUUUAUUUAUUUUUCCUAUUGCAUUUGAAUCUCUGAAGAAAUGCAGACAGAAGGGGCUUUCUUAUCAGAAGCAUAAGAAAUCAUACGAAAUGAAAUGAACUGCUUAUAUGUAAGUGCAGAUAGAAGGGCAAGGCAGGUGAUUCUUGAGAACUAUUUUCAACAUUUUAGUUUGAUUCUCGAGGCUGGAAAAGAUAACACCAGCCUGUAUUACAUGGCAGUCCUAAUGUCUUGCCAGAUGAAUGAGCAUCCUUUUAUCAAUUCUAAAUUUCCCUAAAUCCCUUACAUUUUUCCUUCUGAAAUAUUCAGAACCUCUUAACUAGUAUAAAAGUAGUCUCCAUACAAGCGAUAAAAAAUUGGUAAAUUUGGUUUCUAUUCUUUUUUCUUGGAGCUCUGAAGUGAAAAUCCCGGUUGAUCAUCAUGACUUGUGUCCCUCGCUUCCACAGAUGUAGGGAGGUCUCGAGUUUCACCUUCAGGCUCUUCCGAAGGAGAAUCUUUUGCAUGAGAACCAUCUGUAGAAGCAUUUUUUACCAGGCUUUUGUACAUGGUGAGAGCUUGGGCAAUCAUGUUCGAAGGGUUUGCUGUAGAACUAGGAAGCAACAUUGUUGUACCCUAACAAAUGAACAAAAGACAUGUUCAGUAGCAUGAUAGAAUGAAUAAACAUUGAUAACAUUAAUACUAGCAACAGGUGUAUGCUAUUUCUCCCUUUUACCUCCUUGGCAAUGUUACUGAAUGCUUGAACAUACUGCUCCGCAAUCCUCAAACUUGCUGCCUGUAAAAGAGGUUAAUUUUUAGUUCCCACUUUAUUCUUGAUUCAUAUAACACUCGCAUAUCAGAAGUACCUUCCCUAUAUCAGCAAAAUCUAGACAACUAAUGAGCAUCAAAUCAUUACACAAGUGCAGAACCAGGAACUGAAGUCUCUUUGACUCUUGGGCAUAUACUACUUGACAUUUACAAGUAUCAUGGUCAGCCCAACAUGUUUACCAAUUCUAUCACAGGAAAUUCAUGAUAGAAAUGUCAGCACCUAUUACACACACAUGAUGACAACGAUGGAAGAAUCUCACCUCAACUCCCCCAUUUUCCUUCAAGGACUGCGACACCAAGGCAAUUCCUUUGGCUGUAGCUUGGGCUCUAGCAAGGAUGGCUUCAGCUUCACCUGAUAAAUGAGUUUGUAAAGAAGGAAAUUUUAUGGACAUGAAGAGAAUAAUCAAAAGAGACAAUAACAAUAAUAAAAUCAUUGCUUGAUCAGUUUGUGUUGUUCCACCAUUUUUUACAAUUACAAAUCCGUAUGCUAAAAAAUCAAAAUUAAUCACCCACAUCAAGUUCAAUUACAAUUCAUAUAAAGCCCCACCAUUUUUUAAAUUAUGACUGUUUACUAGUUGAUGAUCACUAACCUUGUGCUCGGUUAACCUGAUCCAUUCUUGCUGCUUCAGAUGCUAAGAUCACAGAACUUUUCCUACCAUCAGCAAUAUUUAUGUCGGCCUGUCUUUCUCCUGUUAGAAUUAACUUUUAUGAAUAAAUCAUGUUGUCUAAAUUAACCAUUAAAAGAAGAUGGUAUAGAGCCAUUAGAUACUAUACUACCUUACCCUAAAAAGGAAAAGAACUAUUACUGCAUUACCUUCAGAUUCAAGAACUUGAGCUCUCCUUUUACGCUCUGCUUCUGCUUGCAUCUCCAUAGCUGCCCUCACUCCCCGAGGUGGAGAUAUAUCCCCUGGUUUGAUAGGGAAGAGAAAAAUAUAUGAUGUAUUGCAAACAUAAAACAAUUCCAGAAAGAAAAUAUUGGCUAAACCAUACUCACUUAUCUCAUAACGGAGACAUUGAAGGCCCCAGUCUCUUGCAGCCACAUUGAUGGACUCCUGCAAUAGUCAUUUCAUUUAAAAAAAAUCAUCCUUUUCUGUAAGAGAGAAAGGGAGGGGGAAUUUGAGACUUUUAUGGUGCAAAACAAGUAUAAGAAUAAUAGGAUAUCAUUCCAACUGUUUCCACACUUCCAUAAUCACUUGUUACUGGAAAAUCAUCAGAAAAGACAUUUAGCAAACUACCUAAAAGAAAUAUAUCCAAUCAGGCAUAAACUUAUCAGGGCAGCCACAUAUAGAUAUUAAUCAUGAAAAUCUUGUUGACAUCAGAGGGAAAAUCAAUAUAACAUGCAUUAGCCUUCAAUUGUCAACUUGAAAGAAUUUGACAGGAACCAUCAAAAUUAUGCAUUAGCCUUCCCAUAGAAUAAAAUGUGUGGAAAUAUACAAUUUCGACAAAUAUGCCUCCUCCCAAACUGUUAACACAAAGUCAAGAGUCAAAUUUAUAAAGAGCCUCUACCUAUUUUCUACUUAUCCAAUUAUUGAUAUAGAACCAGAAUUGUAUUAUAAACCCAAUUCAUCAUAUGUCGGGUCGAUUUUUCUAAUAAGCUAGAUUUCAAGAAGAAAUGGUAAAAAAAAAAGAUAGAAUCAAAGAAAGAAAACGAACCACAAUCUUUUCGUUGAGAGUAUCUCUUUCUUCGAAGGUCUUGUCGAGGGUUAUUUUACCAAGCUCGCUUCGCAUGGUUGUUUGAGCAAGCUGAAUGACGGCAUAAAUUGGGUUCUCAACACCAUAAGAAGCAAGCUUGGGGUCAACAAUCUGCAAAGGUUCCAAAGAAAAUUAUAGACCAGAAAGGUUAUAAAAAUUGAGCAAAAAGGGAAAAGAAGAGGAGUGGAAUGGAAGAAAGACCUUAACAUACAGAACGCCAUCAAUGAGAAUGCUGACAUUGUCUUUGGUAAUAGCGGAUUGGUCCGGGAUAGGAAUAGCCUCUUCCUUAAGGGAAUGAACGUAGGCAAUUCGAUCCACGAAUGGGAUAAGGAAAUGUAUACCAGACGGCAGCGUUUUUAAGUAUUUCCCGAACCUUUCUAUCACGUAAGCUUUCUUCUCCGGUACUAUACGGAUUCCCCAAUUUACUGGAGGUGCAGCCUCGUACCUAAAAAGGAAUUGAAUUGAAACAAAAAGUUGAAGCAAGAAUUGAAAUCAUUUUUGGGUCUAAAGUAGAGUCAAAUUAUACAAAUAUUUAAAACUACCUGAUGGCAGGGUCGCGACCAGCGCGAAGAUGACGCACGGUGGUGGCGAACGGUGGAGAAAAGAGGCGCAGAGUGGAAGAAGAAUGCUGGCUGAUAACGGCAGUUGAGAAGGAGGAUUCCUGGAGAUAUCUAAGAGUCUUCACCGCUUUGUUCAGGGAAUUCACUCUCCAAAUCUUACCCAUUUCAAUCUUUGGAUAUUUAUUCCGUUUUUUUGGGAAUCUAUUGGUUUCUAUUUCUAUGAAUUUUCUUCUUCUUCAAAAUUCGUUCUUUUUCCCCAAUCAAGAAAGACGUAUCAAUUCCCAAAAGGGUUUUAAUUAAUAAGCUCUAAAGCCCUAGUAAAACCUUUGAAAAUUGAAUUGGAAAAUCAAAAUCAUUUCCUGCGAGUCACUGUUCUUUCUCCGGUGAAUACUGGGUGAACCGAGCUUUGUCCCAUUUUCCUCUAAAGCCCAAACUACAUUUUAAAGCCUUUUUUAUUAAGCCUAAACCACAAUUGCAAUUCAUAGACUUGUUAAUAUAACCCCAAUUCAGAAAUUUCAAAUCAAUCCAUCUGAAUCCAAAUUUUAGCCCACUCUAUUUAAUCAUCUAAAUCUGUCCCUCUCAAAUCCACAUACACAAAAAUUAGAUAUAAUUUAAACUACAAACAUACAAACUCGAAAUAAUCAUAACUUAAAAUAUUUAAAACCACGGUACUCUAAUACAAAAAAUUCAAUCCUUAAAUUUAAAAUAACUCAAACUCAUUCAAAGUACAACCUCCCUUACCUUAAAAUGCAUUACUAGUAUCAUACUAUGACAUGAUGAUUAACAGUGCCACGGUUUUGUAGAUAUAAUUAUAUUUGUCGAGAAAAAUAUAAUCAAAACAAAAAAAAUUUAAUCUUGUGAGCAUUAGUGUCUUAUUUACGCCCCUAAUUAAUUCUUCUUUAUAAGUCAGGUCGCUACUUCAACUAAUUCAGUCAAUAAGAAAUAAAUUAUUAGAAUUUUUUAAUAUCUAACUAGCGAAUUUGAUCGGGUUGACAACCUUGACUAAUAAAUGAUCCAUCACUGCAGUAAAAAAUUGUAAUACCAAACUCACGCAGGAAUGUCCCAGGAAAAACUCAACAAAAUUAAGGCACAAGUGCUUUUCAGCUGCUGUCUCAUCUCCUAUUGAAAUUGCGGAAAACAGGCUCCAAUCCAACACCAGCUGUAUCUACCUAUCCGUCUGGUUUUUCCGAGAAAGUUCGGUUUGCAACUUUCCCAGUGGUCACCACUCUUUCAUUAUUUGCACUCCAUUUUUCUCCACAUUAUCCAUCUAUAUAUAAUUUAUAUAUGUACUCAUCAAAAUUCGAUUAAUUACAAUUCAAUAGCCUGACAAGAUAAACUUUUUGGUGGACCUUACAGGGCUUCACCGUAAAAGGGUAUGUUGGUAGACAUAUAUAGGAAUCAUUUAUAUAUAGAAAUCCGCCAUUAUUAAAGAGAGUUUCUUAGUCCAAUAUCCCAGAAUAGUUAAAACAAACGAGGGUUUUUUGAUCCAUAUUAAAAGUAAAGGGGCAAUCCACUGUGUAAACAGUUUAAUUACUUGUUUAGCUUAAAUAUGUCUAUUAUGAAUAUGCCAAUGACUGACAAUAUAUAUGCCAAUGCCAAUGGCAUGGAGCAUCUGUUAAAAAACACUUUUUCCUUUGUAUUUUUCCAUUUAUUUCUUCUCUCUUAGAAAACCCCAUUCUUGUUCACUCUUCUUUUUUGUUUGUUUCCAUCGGGAAUCAGAAAACAAAAACCGGUGGCACCGAUCCCUGUUCUUUCACCCCCUUUUUCCGACGGCCAUGGGAGCAAUGAAGAAAUGGUUGAGUUGGUCUCAAAUGGUAGCCAGCAUGUUGUUGGUACAACUAUUUGCAACAGGGCAACAGCUUCUUUCUAAAGUUAUAUUGAAUCAAGGAACCUUCAUCUUUUCAUUCAUGGCAUACCGACAUUUAGUCGCCGCUCUCUGUGUCGCUCCUUUUGCUUUCUUCCUGGAAAGGUUUCCUCUUUUUCAUACAUGUUACUUUAUGUUCCCUGUUAUUGUUUGGUUGCACAUUGUUUUAAGGUAGCUUUUGUCUGUGUUUUUUCGCCAUGGUUGCAGAGUUGAUUCAAAGAAGAUGGCUUGGUCGACAUGGGUAUGGCUCUUCAUCAAUGCCUUGACAGGGUAAACCAUUUGUGUUUUGGUUGUUAAGCAUUCCGUACAUAAUAAAAACUCUUUUCUUAUUUUACUUAAUAUUACAAAGCAAACAUCAAAAGACUGAGGAUGGUGUAAUUUAAGAUGAUAAAGUUUGUUUGUUAAUUAUAGAGUUUUAAAUAAACAAAAAUUAGAGAAUCUAUACCGAUUUGACCCCCGAGAAAAACCAAUAAUUUCAUAUAUCACCAUCAACUUUCGUAUCUGGCUUUUUAAAAAAAAGCAGAAACGAGACAUUCCUUUCUUUAUUUUCCCUUAGACAAACAUAAAUACUUAUCUGAAUCACACAGAUAAAUGACGUUAUUAUAAGUGAAAGAAAGACUCUUGUUUUGUGGAUAUAGACGUCUUUGAUAAUGUAAGCAAAGGACAAUGGAAUUUAUUGCCUCUUUUAACUUUUAAAAGGUUUUAAUGAGGUGUCAGAGUGUGAUUUAAUGUGUUCAUAAUAAAUAUUCUACACUUGACUGGAUUCUUUUUAAGUUUUUUUUUUUUUUUUUUGGAUUUCUUUAGGUAUUUUAAUUGAUGUCAGACACGUAGCUGAAUUUUAAUCACCUGCCGAAAGAUAAAAAGGAAAGCUAAAGAUAUGAAAUACAACAUAAACUUUGCAUAAAUGUACUUUAAGAAUUGAAUUAAAGCAAUAAAGAAUACGAGCAAUAGGAAAGAUGUUCCCCCACUUUUUUUAGAACCAAUCAAUACGAAUUCAAGUUCAACCAAACAACUUCUGCUUAAUUCAACAACCAAUUUGACUUCCCAUGGUAUCAUUUCAAGCACACACAGCUACCACUGGAAUCAUUGACCAUGCUUAAUUAUUAUUAUGAUUUAAUUUUUCUAAUUAACCACAUGAACAGGAUAACAAUGGCGAUGGGACUGUUUUAUUAUGGUCUUCGAGACACAACAGCAACAUAUUCCACCAACUUCCUCAACAUAAUUCCCAUUGUCACCUUUGUUUUCUCCAUCUUUUUAGGGUAAUACAUUAAGCGAUCCAAUUUUGGUUUCUAGUUGCAGGCGGGAAGGGUCUAAUAAUAAAGGAAUAUUGUGUUUUUUUUUUUUUUUGUAGAAUGGAAAAGCUGGGAUUUGGCAGCAAAGCAGGCAAAAUCAAGACGGUGGGUGCAAUUAUAUGUGUUGGAGGAGCGCUGACAACGAGUCUUUAUAAGGGAAAAGCGUUCUAUCUCACGCAUGAUCAUCAUCCCCAUUACCACUCACCUGCUGUUGCUGCUGCCAUGGCAGUCUCGAGUCCUCACUGGACUCGUGGUACUUUCAUGCUCGUUGGUAGUUGCUUGUGCUAUGCUACUUGGUACAUAUUGCAGGUAUCAACUAAAUGUUACAAUGUCAUCAUCCCACUAUGUCCAUUUUUCCCUCUCUUUUUUUUUUUUUUUUAAGGAUGUUUCAAUAUGUUUCAUUUUUAACUUUGAAACAGGUGAAGUUGCUGGAAGUAUUUCCGUCGAGAUAUCGGGCAACGCUGAUAACAUGCAUCAUGGCGUCCGUACAAUCAACAGCCAUAGGCCUGUGUUUAGACAGGAGUAAGGCUGCUUGGAGAAUAGAGUGGAACUUGCAGCUAGUUACUAUAGUUUACUCGGUAAUGUUACUAACCCAUUUCUCUUUCCUAUUUUUCGAUUGAAUUGGUCUGAGUCAGGUGAAUUUAGAUUGGGUUUAUUAUUUAAGUCAAUUUUAGUUGAAAAAAAAAUAAUUUUAAUUACUUUUAAUUUGGAUAUUUUUAUUUUAAAUUAAUUUUGAGUUCGGGUUAAAAAAAUUAGGGUUAUUGACUUUAAAUUUUUAUAAUAAAAUCAAAUUUUAGUUCAAAUAGAUUAGAUUGAAUUUAAGGAUUUUGAAUUGAUAUAUCUAAAUGACAGGUUUUUAAGUUUAAAAACUUAAUGCUCAUCUUUGAAUGAUGGAAAACGCGAGCCGAGCACAACAAAAUUUAAGAAAAAUAAAAUAGUUAUGACAUGACAAAAGUUGCAAGUAAUAUCCACGUACUAGAAUUAGUCAUAUAUAUAUAUAUGAUACUUAAAAUAGAUAAGAUUUUGGUUGUGCAGGGAGCACUAUGUACUGCAGCAACAUUCUGCUUACUUACAUGGUCGAUUGCUAAGCAAGGCCCUACUUAUGCCCCAAUGUUCAACCCGCUGUCCUUAAUAUUCGUUGCCAUAUCAGAAGCUUUAUUGCUCGGUGAACAGAUGAGACUCGGAAUGUAUGUUCUCUUAAUUCCUGGUACAAAUCCAAAGCGAUGCUUAAAAUCUAUAAUUCUCUUACUCACAUUUACUGCAAUGGUUUCAUGUUUUCAGUGUGCUAGGCACGGUUAUGAUAAUAGUUGGAUUGUACUCAUUUUUGUGGGGAAGAAGGAAGGAAACGAAACCGUUAGGUCAAGCAAGUGCAGGUGAUGAAACAUUGACGGCGAAAGCGGAUCUGGAAUCGGGAGAGAUGCAGUUGAAGAGCUUUGUAAGACCAUCACCUGUUAAAAGCGUUUAUGCUAAGGAAGAAGGAGCUCUAAAAGAUAGUGUAAUAUCUUGGAAUCAAUAGGAACCCCAUUUUUUUUGUAAAGGUCAUGUUAAUACUCAGAAAUGUUAACUUACCUUAGUUCCAAGGAAACUAGCUAGGCUGUUGAUUUCACAAAUAUGUGAAUGAAUAAUUUAAAAGGGUUCUCUUUCAAAUCAAGUAAUGCAAAGUUCAUGCAUUUUACAGUACUGCUGAAGUGUUAAUUCGCGAUUACGAUGACGAGCGACAGGUUUGGUAUGACUUUUCCUUGUCGGCCUUGGGUCCAUAAUAGAGCAGGAGAAAGCCCAACUGUUAUAGGGCAAGAAAGAAGGAUCCACAACAUGUCACGGGGAAAAACAUUAAUUUUAUACAUGGUCGUCAAUAAUUCAUUAUGAAAAGUUCUAAAAAUAAAUUAAUUGAUGCCAUUGAAAGGUAAGUACCGAGCUAUUAAAACUCUUACUAUCUAGUUUUGUCUUAACAACUCACUUUAAGAGAAAUCUUUAAAAUAUUGUUCAUUAGGAGAUGACUUAUCUCUCAAUAGUGGAGAUAUUAUAUUUGAAAUAUUUGUGCUCGAUUUUAUCCUCAAGUUUUGUUUAUAUCACUUUUACCCACUAAUGUCAAAUAAGGGCAUGGGUUCAAGCCCCACAAAGAGCAAUUGCUCACAUUUUCUUAGUGGGCAAGGCACUCCCACUUCGUGAACCUAUUAAGGGCUCUCCGUGGAGUCGAAAGACAAAACUCGCAGAUAAAACUGAGCACAAACAUCUUGAGCACAAUAUUUUCACUGUUGAGGGAUUUAUCGACUCUCGAUGAAUGAUAAUUCAAAGACUUCUUCCAAUACUAGUUUGACCUCCCCUCAACAAGUCUCACAUUGUGUAUUUACACGUGUAGGAUUUUCGUUUAUAUUUUAUUCUGGUUUAAGUUUAAUCUUAUAUUGACCUUGUUCAAAUUUAUUCUGGUCAUAGUAAUAUGAAUAUACUAAUUAUAAUUAUUGUUGACACCAUUUUUUGGAUGAAAAUGGGGUCGACUUGGGUUUUAAAAAUAAAAACGAAAAUGGGAGUCGCCACCAAUCUUUUUUGAUGAGGUGUGAUCGGGUCACCUUGAAAAGUAGUUAUUUUUAAUAAACGACUUAAUUUUUAUUAAAACAACGAUUUUGGUCUACGAAAUUCAGAAAACGGGUUCGGGAGUCAGUUACGCACGAGGAAGGAUUAGCACCCUCGUAACGCCCAAAAUUGAUACCUAGUUGAUUAUUUUAAUGUCUUGGUGUCGAAAUUAAAAACUCAAAAAGAAUUUAAAAAUACGAUCCCUCUUUAUUGUGUUAUUUUAAAAUUACUCAAAUAGAUAAAAAUGGAAAAUGCCUUCUUAUCUCGAAGUAACAAGAUGUCACAUCCAGUAAGUUAGGACCCGACAUCUCGUAUUUUGAGAGUAAGCUUGCCUUUUAUUUUUUAUUUAAACCUCAUUUAUUCCAAUUUUAAAAGGAUAUUCGGUUAUUUAGGAUCACAAGAAAAAUCGAAACCCAGUAAGUUAGGGCACGACUUCUCGAAUUUCCAAAUACGGAAUAUUGCCUUGUUUUGAAAUUUUAAAAGGAUAUUUUAGCUAUUUGGUUGAACGAAAAAUCGAAACCUAGCACGUUAGGACACGUUUUCUCGAUUUUUCAAAUGCAAAAUAUUGCCUUAUUUAGGAAAAUUUUCUUUUGAUGUAUGGUGUUAACAUAUGUGACAAAACAAUAACGAAUAUAACAAGUUAAGGAUAAAUAGUACGAACAAUCAUCAAAAAUGGAAUAAAUAAAUAUAAGAGAUGAAUCAAUCACUUAAUAACAAGUAAGUAAACGAAUAGAAUUAAAAUGUUCUUUUAAAAUAAUAAUAAACAUAUACGCAAAUAAAUAAAUAAACAUCGAGUAAAAAAAAAGAACAAAAAAUAAAAAAAUGUGUGUUCCUAUAUAUGUAUUUUAAAAUUAUAAAAUAUAGCAAAUAUAUAAAUUAUAAGAUAUAGGUACAUAUAUGUAUUAUAAAAUCGUAUAGAUGUAUGUAUAAUUUAAGAUUAUAAAAUAUAUAUAAAGAAUCUAUGUAUGUAUAUAUAUUAUAAAAUAUAUAUAAAAAAAUAUGUAUGAAAAUAAAAAUGUAUAUAUAGUUUUAUAAAAAUAAGAAAAUGCGUAUUUAUAUUAUAAAACAUAUGGGUGAAUGUACAUAUUUUUUAGAAUAAUAAAACAUUAAAAAUAUAUAUAUUUAGGAUUGGCAAAAUGUAUGCAUCGCUUAUAAGAACUUACGUAUGCAUGUAUAUUUUAAAAUUAUAUGUAUAUAUGUAUUUCGAAAGUAUAAAGUAUAAAAAUCGUAUAUAUGUUUACGUUUAUAAAUUAUAAAAUAUAAGAUAUAAGUAUAUAUAUAUAUAAAUGAACCAUGAAAUGCACGCGUAUACAUAUAUAUAUUAGAAAAUGUAUGAAUAUAUAACAAAAUUUGGAAUUAAGGAUGUAAAUGGGCAAACAAACUAAAUAAAUAAAUAAAGAAUUAAGAUAAAAAGGGCUUAAUUGUAGUUUAAAUUAAAAUAACAGGAUAGAUUAGAAUAAAAAUAAAUAAAUAAAAGGACCAAUUUCAAAUGCGCAAGGUAAAGCGGGGACUAAUCGGGAAAAUAUCCCAUUACUCUCCUGUGCUGCGUUUCAAUGGACUAAAAUGAAACGAACAGCAAAUCUUACGGCCCAAAUCAAAAAAAAGAGAGUCAGAUUGCAUUAUAGCGCAAGAUGGAGGGACUAAAUGAAAAAAUUACCCGUUAGGGCAAAGCAUGUGCAUAUCUCCUUCCCUUAAACGACGCCGUUUUAAUCACUAUAAAAGCCUAAAAAAAAAUCUGCCUUCUGCUGUUUCAUUAUUUUUUGCAAAGAAUCCCAAAAAAAAUGAAAGGGGGUUCCCUUUUCUGCUCCAAGGUUCCAAGACUAGGAACCCCGCCGCCGACUUCGCCGCACCACCACUAUCGCCGGUGGCCGACGACAAGCGACCACGGGGAGGUAAGUUUCUCAUAUUUCUCUUUUCUUACAUUUUUUAUUUUUGAAUGCACAAGAAGAGAAAAAAAAGGUGAAAUAAAAUAUGCUGAAAUUAUAAUGCAAAAAACCAAAAGGAGAAUUCCUCUAAAAAUCGUUCUGCUUUUGGUAUAUCUUGUUCACAAAACAAUCGUCUGAUUGAGAUUGAUUCUUAAGAAAUAAAAAAGGAAUGAAUAAGUAAAUAAAUGGAGAUCUUGAGAAAUAAAAAAAUAAAUAAGUAAAUAAAUGGAGAGCAAGCAGUUUGAAGAUUAAAAUCCACCUUUCAAUAUUUCUUUGUUUUUUUUUUAUUUUCUAGUGUUCGUUCGUAAAAACCGAAGAAGAAGAUACAUGAGCAGUGCUUGGGGUUUUUAUAACCCGAUUACCAAUGCUUUUAUAUCUAUUUUGUUUUUUUACAUUAUUUUUUCUUUGUUGUUGCGUCUACUUGUUGGCUUUGCAGGUGCCCGUGGCCGACAGUGGUUGCAGAGGCGUGCGAGUGGAGGCGUGGCAGACGAGGAGGCCACGUAAGGCAUGCGGCGGCUAGCUAGGGUUUGCUGCUGAAAUUUUAAGUUUGUGGGCUGAUUACUUUGAGCUUAAGGUUUGGGUAGUUGGGAUUGAAUUUUGGGUUUGUUGUAUUUUAUUUUAUUUGGACAAUGGGCCCAGCAAAUUUGGGCUUCUACAAUUAUUAUUUUAUUUGUUUAUUAUACCGGAUAAAUUUAAUUAUAGGAAUAAAUUCAAUUGAUUUACUUUCAUCAUUUGAUUUAGUUUAUAAAAUUCUAUAAUGUAAAUGUAUCAAAUAUAUAUAUGCAGAUGAAUUGUUGUUAUUAUAAUAAUUUAAAAUUAUAGAUUUAAACAUAUGUAAA